GUUUGACUUUUCCUCCCAACCUAACAUCACUUGAAAUUUGGAAGGUCAAGAGCUGUAAGUCAUUGUGGGAGUUGGAGUGGGGGUUGCACAGACUCACCUCUCUUAGAAAGUUGGGGAUCAGUGGAAAAAACACACGUACGGUGUCGUUUCCACCUGACAUAGUCCGGAUGGAGCCGCUCCUCCCCAAAUCUCUCACUGAACUCAGAAUAGAAGGCUUCCCGAAUCUGAAGAGACUGAGCAGCAAGGGCUUUCAAUUCCUCAACUCCCUUCAAUCUCUGCAACUCUCUAGAUGUCCAAAGCUAGCAUUCAUUCCAGAGGAGGGUCUGCCUCCUUCACUUGGUCAGCUUAUCAUCUAUAAGUGUCCUGUGCUAAAAGUGAGAUGCCAACCAGGAAAAGGACUCUACUGGCACAAAAUAUCCAACAUCCCUAAAAUAGAGAUACAUGAAGCUAAUGGUCCAGGUAUCAUCUCUCGAGGAAUGUUUUAAUAUUAAUAUUAUUAUUAUUAUUAUUAUUAUUAAUCAUGUUUAUUCUUGUAAAGUAAUCCACAAUAUUUGGUUUGGGUCAAGGUUUUGGGGGUUGAGGAGUGGCUGCUUUAGGAGGCCUUCAAUUGGCGACAACCUGGAUACUUCUCGGCCAACGUUUCUUCUCCCGGAUUCCUAUGUUUGCUGAUAGCACUACCCUUUCAAAUUUUAUUAGGUCGAGCUUUUUUCAAUUUUCAAAUUUAAACAUUUUUUUGGGUCAACAGUCCAAUAAUUCGAACUUGUUUUAUCUUUCAUUAAGAUAAUUCUACCAAAAACCUGACCUCAUUUUGUAUCAAGCUUGAGCUUUUAUGAAAUCAUUUGAGUCAAACUUGAGCACAUAUUUACGAGCUUUAUUUGGGACUGACCGAAUUUGAAUCUUGAGCAAUGUUUGUUAAACCAAGGUCAUUUAAUUACGAUCUGAGUUAUUAAUAAGUUGUGUUGUUUUGUGUUGGGUUAGUGGGUCUUGCAAGACAUUGCUUGAUGUUUAAAUUUGACAAACAAUAUUUUAUCAAGUUCUUGAUUCUACAAGUAUCCAACUCGUUAAAAGGUUCUUAAUGAGCAGCUUGAUAACGAAUCGACUUGUUAACAUAUUAACUCGAAACCUGCUAUUUUUAUGUUGUUUUAUAUCGAAUUAACGGGUCGUGUAAAAAAUUAUCAAACCUAACCGGAUCAUGCCAAACUAUUGAUGGUCAAUGACUUAUUUGAAAGUGAUUUUAAAGUGACUGAAAUUGAUUUCAGAUUCCAAAAACACUUUUUAAGUGCUUUUUGGAAUAAUCUUGGGCGUCUCCACCCAUUGCCAAUUGGUUUCGGGUUGGAUGCUCAAUUUGUAAUUAGAAUAACAGGUAUUGUUGUUUUUUUUUAUUAUCUUUCAUUGUUUGAGUGGGGGAUAUAAUCUUUAUACAAAUUGCUUCCUCAUGGUUUUUAUGACUGGUUUCUGUAUCUACUUUUAAUGCUUAGUACAUUAAGGGCAUCGGGUACUUCCUAAGUUCUCAUGGUCAAGUGUUUGUAUGGUUCUGUAUGUAUGUUUGUGAUCUUCAUCCCGACUUUGAAUGCGUAAACUAGAUGGAUGAAGAGGUUUUGUUGUUAUUGCCUUGCCCAACACAAGGAUUUCUUUAAGGGCUAAAUAGAUUUCUUUUAACUGGGUUCUUAUGUCUUCGACGAAGGUUAGAGUUCUUUAUCCUUUUUGGUAUUUCAGUCAAUUGGUGUAUCUUUCGACAUCUGUGCUAAGUGCUUCGUGAAAAUUGAUAUAUGUUGUCUAAAUGGUUGUGUUUCAGUUGCCUUUUCUGAGCUUCUUCCUUCCUGUCUGAUAUCUAUUUUCUAUCCUUCGUCAUAGGAUAUUAGCUCCAUGGUGUGCUGGUUGCUUUAUGUUUGUAUAUUCUCGUGUUUUUUCAUUACAGUGUUGAACUCAGUGAAAUGCUAGUAUGAAUUGGAGUGGUUCCCAUUGUCUUUGAGUGAUUCCUAUCACAACAAUCAGGGAGGAAAUCCCUCUCUUUUUUUCACUCUAGGACUAUCCAAAAGAUGCAGCACUGAAGAAGAGUUAGGACUUUAACUCAGUGUCGCAAAAACCUACUACCAAGAGAAAGUUUGUAAGCACUUAUGUUCCGACUCAGAUCCUUACCAAAGUUUUUUUGAAAGUUGAAAUGAUAUAGCACUAGGCCCAAGGUUGAGAGCAGGUUAGAAUUGUUAGAUUGGUGUUUGGCAUGUAAAGACUAGUGGUAUGAUAUUGGGGUACGUUUUUAGGUAUAUGGGGCCAGUACCUGUAAGCUUGAAGACAACCUAAAUAUGCCCGGGAUGUAACAGAGUGCUUGCCUAUACUUCUGUUUUUGUAGUUAAGAGAACGUAAUUGCUUAGCAAUCAUUAAAUUUGUAUACUUAUUACUUGGGUGCCCUCUGCCUUGCUAUGCUGCAUAACAAUGAGAAUAUAUUACGGAAUUCUAACAGGAAAAAGGCAGGGGACUCCCAAAAUUUGGUGAAUGGGACGUCAAUGAUCCUGCUUCGGCUGAGGGGUUUACUGUGAUCUUUAACAAGGCUAGGGAUGAGAAGAAGACAGGUGGAAAACCCGAGUCACCAGGAAAGGUUGAUCCUAAUAUCAGGCAUGGAGGAGGAGUGGAUCCUGGCACUAGCAGGCCUUCGUCUGUAAGAUUUUUUCUCAUAACUGUUGUCGUUUCUUUCUCUAAUGAUUUGAUAUAUACAUGGGUCAGCCAAUAGAAAUACAUUCUUUGCGGUUUUCUUAGUUGCAAGUUAUUGCUUUUCAAGUGACGUUGGUAGUACAAAAUACAACUAUAUGUAACACUGACUUAUCGAUCAAACUCAGCAUACCAUUUGAUGUGAAAAUCAAUGCAACUGACUUAUAUAGAACUCUAGUAAGGAAAUGUGGCAAAAGACAUAUCUAAUGUUAGGGCCAAGAUAUUUGAAAAAUAAAAGAGCACAAGAUGAUUCGGCUGUUUUAUCUGGAUUAUUCCAUGCAAGUGGAAUUGGCAUACAUUAACUCGGGUUCUGUCUCCUUUUAGACAGAUGUAGCCUAAUAGGAAUAUUUGUUUGUUUUAUUGUGAAUAAUUGAAAGAACCAAUGGCCCUGGAAAUAUUUGCUUUUGUCAAUUGAUCAUUGUGUGACCUUUUCGUUUUUUCUAUGCGUUUUCUGUACCUGCUGCGUUUCCAAUAGUAGACUAAUAGAAUGAAUAACUGGAGGUGAUUAUUUCUGCUGCCAAAAUCUAAUAUGCUUAAAUUCCUCACUCUUUGCGGAUGAUUUGAUUUGGUUUGAUUUCCUGAUGCACAGAAAAAAUGGUUUUGCUGCAUUCAUCAACCACCGGCAGAGUUUUGACAAUGUUGUUCUCCUAAGUGCUUCGAUGGAGGAGCACGAUGUUCUGUAACUGGCUCCACUAUAUUUCCUCACUUAAUCUAUGUCUAUGAAAUUGGCAGCUAGGGAAGUGAAGUUUGAAGCAAUGGUUAGCAGUUUGCCUAAGGAAAUCGUACAUGAUAUCCUUUUGAGACUACCUCCUAAAGCUUUGAUCAGAUGCACCUCGGUGUCCAAGCCUUGGAACUCCAUGAUAAAAAGUCCAAGCUUUAUUCGCACCCACCUCAGCCUUACCAUCGAUUUUAACCAGUUUGGCACCCACCAACUCCUUCUGCAUUGUGUUCGUGGAGACAAUCCAGUGGAGCAGAAUUACUAUUUGCAUUAUGAUAACCAUGCUUUUGAUGAGUACUGCAAGCUAGAGUAUCCAAGUGUUCCCAAGCGCAAUAGAUUUCUUCGUGUGGUCGGAAUGCGAGGAUCCGAAUGCUUUUUAUGAGGCUUAUUCACUUGCUAGAGGCUUGUGGAGUAGUCCUCGUUCUUUUGAUCCCGUUUGUAAAGUUUUAUUCUUGCAAAUUUCAGGCUUUUGUGAACGGGGCAGUUCAUUGGCUGGCAUGGCGCUGCUUGAACGAUGGUCGUUAUCAAAAUUUCAUUUUAGCAAUUGAUGUGGACGGUGAGUUAUUUUGCGAGAUAAGGGUGCUAAAGAGUUUCAGACAGGAUGAACCAUUAGAUUAUCACUUGUCUGUUUCAGGUGAUGGAAACUCCAUUGCUAUGUUCACGACGACGCGUGGUCGUAAUUGUCCUGAGGAUUUUCUUGACAUAUGGGUGAUGAAAGAGUAUGGCAUCGAGGAUUCAUGGGCCAAACUGAUAACUCUCCACCGUAUCCGGAAACAAGGGUGCCCUACAAGCCCUUAUGUUUUAGGAACAGUGGUGAAGUGGUGUCCUGACUUUAUCACUUGUUCUAGAAAAAAACGUCGCAUGUACUGGGAUUUUCUCCGGGAUGCCUUGUGAUAUUCUGACAUUGCUGGAUUCUUGUUAGAGAUGAACAUUUUUCCUUCUGUUUGUCUGUUAAUUUACAGACCUAGAAGAAGUUGCUUAUCACAUGUUGCCAAUGUUCAUGGAUAUAUACAGUUAUAUUAAUUUCCUUGAAAUUUCUUGUGACAUUUUUUUAGCUCUAAUAAGAUUUAUCUCUCGUCACAAGACUUUUACAAUAACUUGUGCUCCUAUGGUCUACCAAAAUAAUAAUAUUGCAGUAGAGACUAGUAGUCUAUUAUUAAUUGUGUGUUCAACUUAAAGCAGCGAGAAAAAUGUGUACCUUUUUCUUUUCUUUUUUUUCAAAGAAUUUUUUAUCUUUUUCCUCUGGGAGGAGGAUUGUCUGCCCUCCUAGUUUCAGUGCCCUUCCAUGCCAUCUUGAUUGUGUGGUCAUGGUUAAGCCACGUUAAUAUUUUAUAUUACUAUUUAUUUUUGUCUUAUUAUAUCUAUAAAAAAACAAUAUAAAAUAAUGAUGUGGCUUAACCGUGACCACACAAAACAGGAGGGCAUGGAAGAGCAUUGAAACUAGGAGGGCAGACAAUCCUCCUCCCUUCCUCUGACCCUUGCAUGCAGGUUUGGCAGUAAAGUAAGAGUUUCCACGCAAUUAAAAUAAUGGCAAACUAGUCUUUCGGUUUUGCACGAAGAUAGGAUAAUUUAUACUAAAUUAUUUUUUUGUCUUUUAUUAAAGAAUCAUUUAAAAAAAAAAGUUUUUAAGUGUUUGGGAUCUUUUAAAUACCAAUUUCAAUACAGCUAUUAGUUCAAGUAACAUAAUUUUUAGUUUAGGUACCAAUGAAAAAAUCAACUAAAAUAAUUCUAUAAAUACUAUUAUAAUUCAAAAUAAUUAUAUGAUUGCCGUGUUUUCCGACCAGCCAACUGUAUUCGCAACCACCUCACCCUUACAAUCAAUCUUAAUAACCAGGUUUCGACUAACCUCCUUGUACUGCAUUGUAAACGCAUACAUGAGCCAAGGGAGGAGCAUUACUAUUUUUGCAUUAUGAUAAAUAACCAUGAUUUUGAUGGGUAAUGUAGACUAGAAUUUCCAAUCAUUCCGAAGGGAGAAUGGUUCAAUAUGACCUAUAGACUACAAGAACUCAAAUUCCUUAUUUGUUAUCUUCUGUAAACCAUUCAUCAGAGCUCUUGACAGGCAGUGACCAUAUUUGAGGAAUGACUAGACGCAUGUUGGGGCGCCAUCAUGACUUCAUGGGUGAACAAUAGAAUUUCGUGUGUAAGUUUCUCUCCACAUACAUCGUGUUAACUUUGUUUUUCUAGUUUCCUAGCAUGUUCCAGUUCGUGCAUUUUCAGUUUUUGGAUAGUGGAAAGGUCAAGUUGGUAGCAAAUUGACACGGCGAAGACGUAAGUCUAAAAUUCAUUGUCACUAAUUCAAUUUACCAAGCUUAAUUGGCCUCUCUUAACCUACAAAAUUGUCAUAAUAAACUAGUAAUUUCACUUCAUGAAAAUCUUGCUCAAUGUUGUUUGACUUGUUUCCCUUCCUAAACAUCGAGAUGUUCGUUAAUUAUAUGCUAAUAAGUUCAUCUUCAAAUGGAUCAUAAAUUAAUAUAGCUAUGUGACUAAUUAAGUAGUAUAACUCCAAAAUGGUAAAGCAUAAUCCAUGAUAAUUUUGGUAAAUCUGGUGUCGGCAGGAUCAUGUUCAUCUUCUUCGUGUUGUGUGGCUCAGGUUGUUUAAGAGUUUUUUACUAUUUUAAAUUGAUUCUCUAUAUUAUCUACAAUGGCCUACAAAAAACUGAACCAAACACCCCCACAAAGGAAAGGGGUCCUUUUCAGAUCCUUUCGACCUAAUUAUCUUCAUCAAAUAAUCCGUGUUCUUAAAAUUUGAUUCAACAACUAAAAACACGGAUCUAUUUUAAAAAUUAUAAUAACUUUAGUUGUUGAAUCAGAUUUCAAGAACCUUAAUAAAGAAGAUUAGGUAAAAGGAAUCAAGAAAUGAUCCCUUUCGAUCACAAAAUAAUAUAAUCGGUGUUGAAAGGAAUGUAGCUCAGUUGUUUACCAGCAGUCACUCAUAACGUUUGGUUCCCCCCCAAAAUCGGUGUUGAAAUGAUCCCUUUCUCUCACACUCUUUUUUUUUUACUUCUCACAUACCUCUUGUUAACUUCUGUCAUUUGAUCUACUUCCAUUUAUCCGAUCCAACGGUCAAAAAUUAAAAGGGUGUGUGAGAGGUAAAAAUUGGUGUAUAGAUAUCACACCCUUUUACUAAAUCCUAAAUUGUACAACUCCUUCAAAUAUAUCAAGGACGAAUAUGGUAUCUUCUACAAACCAUCCAGUAGAGCUCUCAGCAUGCAAUGACCAUAUUUAGGGAAUGGACUAGACACAUGUUGGGGCAUUAUCAUGACAUCAUGGGUUAACAAUACAAUUUGUGUUUAGUCUCUCUUCACAUACAUUACGUUAACUUAGUUUUUCUACUUUCUUAGCAUGUUCGGGUUCGUGCAUUUUCACCUUUUGGGUAGUGGAAAGGUCAAGUUGUUGGGAGACUUAUUAGUAAAAAGCAAAUUCACACGGCAAGACAUAAAUCUAAAAUUACUUGUCACUAAUUCAAUUCCACUGAAUUUAAUUCUUCUCUCUUAAUCUUCAAAAUUAACAUAAUAAGCUAGUAAAUUUCACUUCAUGAAAAUCUUGCUCAAUGUUGUUUGACUUGUUUCCUUUCUUUAACAGCUAGAUGUCCAUUAAUUAUAUGCUAAUAAAACUUGCUCUUCAUCUUCAAUUGAUCUAAUAUAGCUUUGUGACUAAUUAAGUAGUAUAACUACAAGAUGGUAAACAAUAAUCCAUGGUAACUUUUUGCAGGAUUAUUUUCUACUUCUUUGUGUUGUGUGGCUCAGGCUGUUUGAGAGUCUCAACAUUAUCUACCAUGGCCUAUAAAAUUGAACCAAUCACCAUCUCAAAAUAAAAUAAUCGGUAUUGCAAGGAAAUGCAACUCGGUUGUUUACGAGCAAUCACUCUUCCACCCUGAGUUGCGUGUUUGGUUCCUCAUCUCCCAAAAUCGUUCGUAUAAAGGAAAAGAAAAGUAUAACCGUGUGGGACAUAGGAGAUAAGAAAGCAAUUAAAAAGAUAAAACAGCAUGAUCAUGACCCCACAAAAAAAUAAAGAGAAAGUAAAAAGAGGAAGACUUGCUGUGGUCUUUCAACACCUAAUCCUCAUUGCAAAUUGAAGAGCUCUAAAGUGGUCUGGAUCUGUUGAUUUUCAUAAUCUAUGGAAAACAAGUCCCUUCAUCUUCAUCAUCAUCUGAAAACUUGAACGCAGUAAGUUCCUCUUGCAACUAUAUAUGCGGAAUCCAUUAUUUAUAAAUUAAUUAUUUCAUUUUUCUUCAAGAUUGUAUGCUUAAUUAAUUAUUUCAUCGAUAACCAGCUAUAUAAUUUGUUCAGUUUUCAGCCUUAAUUAUUCCAUCAUUCAGUUUGGAUUUAUUGAUCAUCAGUGCAAACAAGCGCCCUCAUGACCUGACAGACUUCCAUGAAACUGCUUCUUGCUACAGAUCUUGUCCAAUAUCCGUGCAGAUUUCGAGUCUUGAAACGUAGGAUUGCAAGGUAAUCCCAAAACUGCCCCAUUUUAUUUGUUCAACAUGUUAAAAUUUAAGAAAAAUGAUGCAUUGCUUACUAGCAUGAUUUUUUCAAUCUUGAGUUUUUAUGGUGUGUUUUAUUGUGCCUUAUCAUUGAGUAAUAUUAUGGUGUACGUGUUUUUCUUUUGACAAACGAUAACGUUAGUAGGUUAAAUUGUUAGUCCCGUACUGGAACACCAACCAGGUUACCCAAAAAAUGAUUCACACACCCAUCUUUAUUCUAUAACUUAAUUCCAUGCUUGUCCCUCGAUACUCGUGAGCGAAAGGGAGGGUCCAAGCGGAUAUGAAAAUGAUCUAUUACUCCAAAGUCUACUUCAUAUGGCCAAUUAUUAGGUGUGUGAUCCUCAUCAUCAACUAUACUUUUUAUAAGGAAUAUCAUUCAUAACCCAGCUAUAAGCAUGCCGAUAUCGUUGAAAGCAUUAAAACAAUGAAAAAUAUGAAGUCUUACCCAGUGGCAGAUCGAAGAUUUUAAUAUCGGUGGUCCUAAUAUAAAGGCCCUAAAAAAUAUUAAGCGAAAAAUAAUAUUGAAAAUUAAAUGCUAGACUACAAUUUUUCAUUCAUAAUUUUUGUACAAACAACAUUACAAGCUACAAAGUACAAAGACUUAUUUGUCAACGAUGAGGUAUGCGUAAUAUCGUUCCAUACUUCUAAUUUCUACACAUAUCAAUUACUCAAAACAAAAAAAAAACAUAUUAAUUGAUGAAGCUAAAAGAAAAAAAAUACCUAUAACUAUUAUGAAUUUAACAUUCUACAACAACAACAACAACAACAACAAAGCCUUUUCCCACUAAGUGGGGUCGGCUAUAUGAAUCCUAGAACGCCAUUGCGCUCGGUUUUGUGUCAUGUCCUCCGUUAGAUCCAAGUACUCUAAGUCUUUUCUUAGAGUCUCUUCCAAAGUUGUCCUAGGUCUUCCUCUACCCCUUCGGCCCUGAACCUCUGUCCCGUAGUCACAUCUUCGAACCGGAGCGUCAGUCGGCCUUCUUUGCACAUGUUCAAAAUCACCGGAGCCGAUUUUCUCUCAUCUUUCCUACAAUUUCGGCUACUCCUACUUUACCUCGGAUAUCCUCAUUCCCAAUCUUAUCCUUUCUCGUGUGCCCACACAUCCCACGAAGCAUCCUCAUCUCCGCUACACCCAUUUUGUGUACGUGUUGAUGCUUCACCACCCAACAUUCUAUGCCAUACAACAUCGCUAGCCUUAUUGCCGUCCUAUAAAAUUUUCCCUUGAGCUUCAGUGGCCUACGACGGUCACACAACACGCCGGAUGCACUCUUUCCAUCCAGCUCGUAUUCUAUGGUUGAGAUCUCCAUCUAAUUCUCCGUUCUCUUGCAAGAUAGAUCCUAGGUAGCGAAAAACGAUCGCUUUUUGUGAUCUUCGCUAGAUUGCUCCGGUCAUUAGUGUGGAUAAGUAUAUAAAUGGAUAGAGAUAGGAAAGCAAACACAAGAUGUACGUGGUUCACCCAGAUUGGCUACGUCCACGGAAUAGAAGAGUUCUCAUUAAUUGUGAAGGGUUUACACAAGUACAUAGGUUCAAGCUCUCAUUUAGUGAGUACAAGUGAAUGAUUUAGUACAAAUGACAUUAGGAAAUAUUGUGGGAGAAUGAUCUCGUAAUCACGAAACUUCUAAGUAUCGGAGUGUGGUGUCGUCUUGACUUGCCUUAUCUAUCUCAUAGGUAGAUGUGGCAUCUUCUCUGGAAGUACUCUUCCUCCAUCCAGGGGUGGUAUCUUUAACUGGUGGAGAUGCACAAGGUAAUGUAUCAAUUUCACUUGAAGCUUACUUGUAGUUUCAGGCUUGGUCAAGCGCGAUACAAACCAUGUAGUAGGAGUCCCCCAAGUCGCCGAGCUAGGGGGUCUGCUGAAAGAGGUGACAGACAAGGUAAGCAAUCAGAGCUCCGACUGAUUGUUCACCUUCUCCCCAUCUUGCAGCAGCAUGAAGGAUAAAGAGAAGAAAAAUGAGAAGAGAUGAUAUGAGAUACUUUUGCUUUUGAAGAAGUAACUUUCCACAGGCUUAUUCUUGAACUGAGCUGGAGGGUUUUCUGGUUUCCUCCAGAGUAUAAGGCCGACUGAAGAAUUUGAGGGUCAAAACAAGUCCAUCAAAUCUAGAGUACGUUCCACCCUGCUGAUAUGGGAUACUUUUGCUUUUGACAGAGUAAUGAAUGUAUCGACCCGUGUGCUGUUACGCUUGUCUCCACAUGCUUCCUUGUAUCCUUCGCACUUGCCCUAUCUGUUCCUCAAGCAGAUGCGGAAUCUUCCCUGGAAACAUAAGAUGUUGAAGAUGAGUACUCGAGAGCAAUGCCAGGUAAGUAAUCAGGUAAGGGGUUCCAGGCAGUCAGUUCCUGGCUGGAAGCUUGAUUCCAAGUGCUGACUGAUUGCUCUCUUUCUCCUUGUCUUGCAGGUAAAAAACAAGGCCAAAAGAAAAGACAGGGAAAAAGCAUGAUAUGGGAUACUCUUGCUUUUAACCCUGAUGAUAUGAGAUAUUCUUGCUCUAGUAUAGCUUGUUUGCAGAGGUAUUAUCGGGGGGAAAGAAAGCUGAAAUAUUUCGAAAGGCUUCGUUGGGAGUGCCCUCUCAAAUAUGAUGAAGGGUUGAGCAUUUUUGCAGGUCUGCCUGUCCGUUGGGGAUGGAGGUCGACAUAUAUAGGAGUCUCCCUAACAACAAGUAGUAAUGCUAUUCCUUUACCCUGCUUGGUCAUAGCACGGUAGUGGGAGCUGCCAGUUUCACAUGUUUUAACUCUGUCAGAGCACUUUGAAAAAGUGGUCUGUGGUAUCUGGCUCUCGAGAUUUGGAGAACGAUGCCUCUUCGAUUUUUGAGAAAGCAAUCAUGCUGGGGGUAUGACUCUCGAGAUUCGGAGAGCAGUGUCUCUUCGAUUUUUGAGGAAGUAAUCAUGUUGGGAGUCUGGCUCUCGAGAUUCGGAGGGCGGUGCCUCUUCGAUUUUGGAGCAAACAAUCUUGUUGGGAGUGUUGUCUCGAAUGUGAGUAAAGGUUGGGCAUGUUUGCUAGUCUACCUUGCCACGAAGCACAAAGGUUGACACACAGGGACUUUCCAAUUAUCCAGCAAUGGUACUGUUCCUUUACCUCUCUCUUCGAUUUUGAGAAAGUAGUCAUGUUGGGAGUCUGGCUCUCGAGAUUCGGAGGAUGGUGCCUCUUCGAUUUUGGAGCAAGCAAUCUUAUUGGGAGUGUUUUUCUCGAAUGUGAGUAAAGGUUGGGCAUGUUUGCUAGUCUACCUUGCCACGAAGCACAGAGGUUGACACACAGGGACUUUCCAAUUAUCCAGCAGUGGUACUGUUCCUUUACAGUUGUGGGUAAUAAUAUGGUAGCUAGACCUUCAAAAUUUAUGUGUCUAAACUUUUGUUAGUGCUGUUUCUUUGCUAUUCUUUUACCUUUCUUGGUCAGAGCGAUGUAGUGGGAGCUGCAAGCUUCACGUGCUCAACUUUGGCAGAGAACUUUGGCAAAGUUAUUUGUGGUACCCAUGAGCUAUUGUUGCGUGUGGGAAGUGGGUGUGAUUGAACAGUAAGAUUCAUGUGCUUUCUACUUCACCAGAAGUCUUCGACAGAAUGCCCAUAAUUUCUGCAAAGCUGAGUGUGCGUGUGACAGGUGCUGACAAGGCUAGAAAAGUAGGUGCCUCUUCGAUUUCUGAGAUCGGCCCUCGUGGUCUCUGAGCAGCCCAGCUUUUGAGAAAGCGAGCGCCUCUUCGAUUGAUUCGGAGAACGAUGCCUCAUCGAUUUUUGAGAAAGCAAUCAUGCUGGGGGUCUGGCUCUCGAGAUUCGGGGAGCAGUGUCUCUUCGAUUUUUGAGAAAGUAAUCAUGUUGGGAGUCUGGCUCUCGAGAUUCGGAGGGCGGUGCCUCUUCGAUUUUGGAGCAAGCAAUCUUGUUGGGAGUGUUUUCUCGAAUGUGAGUAAAGGUUGGGCAUGUUUGCUAGUCUACCUUGCCACGAAGCACAGAGGUUGACACACAGGGAGUUUCCAAUUAUCCAGCAAUGGUACUGUUCCUUUACCCUCUCUUCGAUUUUUAAGAAAGUAGUCAUGUUGGGAGUCUGGCUCUCGAGAUUCGGAGGACGGUGCCUCUUCGAUUUUGGAGCAAGCAAUCUUAUUGGGAGUGUUUUCUCGAAUGUGAGUAAAGGUUGGGCAUGUUUGCUAGUCUACCUUGCCACGAAGCACAGAGGUUGACACACAGGGACUUUCCAAUUAUCCAGCAGUGGUACUGUUCCUUUACCCUUGUGGGUAAUAAUAUGGUAGUUAGACCUUCAAAAUUUAUGGGUCUAAACUUUGUUAGUGCUGUUUCUUUGCUAUUCUUUUACCCUUCUUGGUCAGAGCGAUGUAGUGGGAGCUGCAAGCUUCACGUGCUCAACUUUGGCAGAGAACUUUGGCAAAGUUAUCUGUGGUACCCAUGAGCUAUUGUUGCGUGUGGGAAGUGGGUGAUUGAACAGUAAGAUUCAUGUGUUUUCUACUUCCCCAGAAGUCUUUGACAGAAUGCCCAUAAUUUCCGCAAAACUGAGUGUGCGUGUGACAGGUGCUGACAAGGCUGGAAAAGGCUGGAAAAAGUAGGUGCCUCUUCGAUUUCUGAUAUCGGCCCUCGUGGUCUCUGGGGAGCCCAGCUUUUGAGAAAGCGAGCGCCUCUUCGAUUUUUGAGAUCGGCCUUCGUGGUCUUUGAGCAGCCCAACUUUUGAGAAAGCAAACGCCUCUUCGAUUUCUGAGAUCAACCCUCGUGAUCUCUAAGCAGCCCAGCUUUUGAGAAAGCAAACGCCUCUUCGAUUUCUGAGCAGGCGCCUCUUCGAUUUCUGAAGCUUCGUCGAGUGCAGAUUUUUAUAGGGGCUGGCAUUAAGUUCCAAAGCACACUUGAAUCUCCACCAGUAGAAGCUUCAUUCUUGCACUUCUAAGAUCUUGAUUUGUCCGACCUCUUCUCUCUUCAACACCUUUGAAAAUGUCUGGCCCCUCCGACCGUCGUUUUGACUUGAACCUUGUUGAAGAGGCAGCCCCGCCUUCUCCAGACAACAUAUGGCGCCCAUCCUUCGUCUCCCCUACUGGUCCUCUUACCGUUGGGGAUUCCGUGAUGAAGAAUGAUAUGACCGCUGCGGUGGUGGCCAGGAACCUUCUCACUCCCAAAGAUAACAGACUACUUUCCAAACGGUCUGAUGAGUUAGCUGUUAAGGAUUCGCUGGCUCUCAGUGUUCAGUGUGCAGGUUCUGUGUCUAAUAUGGCCCAACGCCUAUUUGCUCGAACCCGCCAAGUUGAAUCAUUGGCGGCUGAAGUGAUGAGUCUCAAACAGGAGAUUAGAGGGCUCAAGCAUGAGAAUAAACAGUUGCACCGGCUCGCACAUGACUAUGCUACAAACAUGAAGAGGAAGCUUGACCAGAUGAAGGAAACUGAUGGUCAGGUUUUACUUGAUCAUCAGAGAUUUGUGGGUUUGUUCCAAAGGCAUUUAUUGCCUUCGUCUUCUGGGGCUGUACCGCGUAAUGAAGCUCCAAAUGAUCAACCUCUGAUGCCUCCUCCUUCUAGGGUUCUGUCCAGUACUGAGGCUCCAAAUGAUCCCCCUCCGGUGCCUUCUCUUUCUGGGGCUCUACCGACUGCUGAGACUUCUCCUAAGCAACCUUUGUGAAGGCUCCCUCUUGUGUGCUUAUUUUGACUCAUGUAUAUGUACAUAUUUGUAGCUUAUCGGGGAUAUCAAUAAAUAAGCUUUCCUUGUACAUAUUUGUAGCUUAUCGGGGAUAUCAAAAAAUCAUAAUAGUUAAAACAAUACCUAUAAUUAUUAUGAAUUUAACAUUCUACAUGAUUAAUUUAGACUAAAAUAAAAAUCUCAGUUAAAUUUAGAAACGAGGGGAUUAAGUGGUGGUGAAGAAAGGACAGCAGAAUGGUAGGUUAUGUCGGUGGUGUGGACCGUGUGAUCAAUCUGAUCGUGGUUUGUGGAGACUGGAGAGGAGACUGGUAUUGUGCUGAUGGUCUUCGGUUGGGACAAGGAUUGUCUGCCCUUCCACUUCCGGUGUCCUUCCGUGUCCUCCUGUUUUGUGUGGUCACAGUUAAGCCAAGUUAACAUUUUAUAUUGUUUUUUUAUAGAGAUAAUAAGACAAAAAUGAAUAGUAAUAUAAAAUGUUGACGUGACUUAACCGUGACCAUACAAAUAAGAGGGCACGAGAGGGCAUUGGAAGUGGGAGGGUAGACAAUCCUUGUCCCUUCGGUUGAGUGGGGUGGGGUUUUCAAGCUACGCAUCAAAACACACCGUUUUACUUAAAUGACUUGACUCCUUUAAAAAGAAAAAAAAGAAAAAAAAGAAAAAAAAAAAACUUCUUCUCUCCAUCUCGGUUGCAGAAUACCAGAAGACCCACCAGAAGUCAGAACACGGUGCGGCCCCACUCUUCUUCUCCUCCACCACACUUGGUGGUCCACGGAGGUCCUUGCAGCCACUUGUUCGGGCUUCCGGAUGGUCCCAAGACCACCCAAGUCUCUUAGUAGAUGGUAUUACCUCAUGUGAAGCUUCCGAAACAACUUUGAUAUAUUUUUCUCAAAUUAUUAUGAUUGGUUGAAAUUUUUUUUUUAAUUUCCAGCCACGUUAAUUAAGGAUGAAUCAUUUUAUCUCUUAUUUAAGAAUAUUUGUUAAAAACAAAUGUAAAAAUAUUUGUUCCUUGAUCCUAACUUAUUUUGUAUAUAUUAGGAAAAAGAACAUUUCCAUAAAACGUAACAGGACUGCAUACCUGACGGGACGGUUAUGGUGUAGGCAAUCCCUAGCCAUUCCCAAAUUGUCACCUCUAGAUAUGCUUUGCUAGGAGUCCAUUAAUUGAUUACUUCACUGUUACUAUAAAUUUGUAUGUGAUUGCGCAGGCAUCAAUAAUUACUUCUCAUCAUUUUAAUUUGUGCAGUUGUGACUAUUUCUGAGCCUCAACAGAUCAAGCUUCCAAAUUUCCAAGGAACUAGUCUUUGGCUGUUACUCUUCCCUUCGUUGAGUUCUGCACCUCAAUAUUGCUCAAGAACGUUUCACUAUUUCUUUGAUUUCUUGGAGUGCCCUUCACUCUUAACAUGGCACUGGGAGAGGGUUUUCUUGCGGCGUUUCUAAAGGUGCUGCUCAACAGGUUGACCUCCCGCGAGAUUCUCAACUACAUUGGAAACUUCCGGGGCGUCAGAAAGAAGCUGGACAAGUGGAGGGCCGUGUUAACUGCAAUAGGAGCGGUGCUCAGCGAUGCCGAGGAAAAACAACUCACUGAGGAUGCUGUGAAACUGUGGCUCGAUGAUCUCAGAGACUUGGCUUAUGAUGUCGAAGACAUGUUGGACAAAUUUGACACCCAAAUGUUGAAGCGCAUGAUAGAGGGACGUGAUCAAGCCCGCACAAGCAACAAGGUGCGGACCUCACUUUUCAAAAUUAAAUUCAAUAGGGAUAUGAACUCCGAAAUGAAGAAGAUUACGGAGCGGUUGCAAGACAUAUCUGAACGGAAAGAGAAGUUUGGCUUGAAAGAUACUGGGACGUCUGCUAAGGAAUCGCGAAGUCUACCAAGUUCAGAUGUGUUAGAUGAAAAGCUAGUUGUUGGAAGGGAUGGUGACAAAGGGGAGAUUAUUGAAUUGUUGUCAAGAAAAUACGAGCAUGAAGGUGCUGUCAAUUUUGGUGUAGUUGCUAUAGUUGGCAUGCCCGGAGUUGGGAAGAUGACACUUGCUCAACUUGUAUUCAACCACAAAGAUGAUGCCAUGAAGGAGUUUGAGCCUAAGGUGUGGGUAUCUGUGUCUGAUGACUUCAAUGUGGUGCGAGUGACAAAGGCAAUUCUUGAAUCCAUCACAUCCCGACCCGUUCAAAUGGAGGAGUUUAGUAAAAUUCAGCAUGAUUUGUGUGAGCAAUUAAGAGGAAAAAAGUUUUUAAUCGUGUUAGAUGAUAUCUGGAACAAAGGCGACUAUGAUCUACACGAUCUCUGGACAAGACUUAAAUCCCCUUUUGGCGUCGGAGCAGGAGGAAGUAAGAUUAUUGUGACAACCCGUGAUGUGCAUGUUGCAAGGACUAUGGGAGCCACGGGAGUUCAUAAUUUGGAAUGUAUGGCAGAUGAUGAUUGUUUGGAAAUAUUUGAGCGACAUGCAUUUGGGGAAGUUAAUAGUGUAAAACCAGUAAAUUAUGAGUUGAUUCGGACAAAAAUUGUUGAAAAAUGUUGUGGCUUACCAUUAGCUGCGAGGACUCUCGGUGGUCUCUUACUUUGCAAAGAAAAAGAUGAGUGGGGAGAAAUAUUGGACAACAAACUAUGGAAUCUUGCAGAUAACAGUAGCCUUCUCCCCGUACUAAAGUUGAGCUAUCACUAUCUUCCAUCACAUUUGAAGAGGUGUUUUGCCUACUGCUCAAUACUUCCAAAUGACUACGAAUUUUGGGAGAAGCGGCUCGUCCUUUUGUGGAUGGCAGAGGGUUUGAUUCAACAAAAACCUGAUGACAAUAAACAAAUGGAGGAUUUGGGCCGCGACUACUUUCGAGAGCUAUUAGCAAGGUCGCUGUUUCAAGAAUCAAGCAAAACCAAUUCAAGAUAUGUAAUGCAUGACCUCGUUAAUGAUUUAGCACAUUGGGCAGCAGGAGAAAUAUGUUUUAGGUUGGAAGAUAAGCAAGGUGAUAACUUGCAAAGCACUUGCUUUCAAAGGGCUCGCCAUUCGUCUUUCAUUGCUGGUGAAUUUGAUGGAGUUACGAGAUUUGAGGACUUCCCAAAAGCUGAACGCUUGCGAACAUUCCUGCCACUUUCACUUUCAGAUUCUGGUGGAUGGUACAAAUGUUUGUCUCGUAAGGUUACUUUUGAGCUAUUACCACAGUUGCAAUACUUACGAGUGCUCUCGUUCAAUUGCUACACAAUAACUGAGCUGCCAAAGUCAAUCGGUGAUUUGAGGUUGUUACAGUAUCUUGACCUUUCCUACACAGAUAUAACCUGUUUGCCUAAGUCAACAAGCACUCUUUACCACUUGCAAACAUUGAUAUUGGAAGGUUGUUCUAAAUUGAAGUCAUUGCCCACAAACAUGAGUAAUCUAAUUAAUUUGCGCCAUCUCAACAACUCAGGUGCAUAUUCGUUGGAAGGAAUGCCUUGGCAACUAGGUCGAUUGACGAAUCUACAAUCAUUGCCUCUUUUUGUGGUGAGCAAAGGUAGUGAUCAAUCAGGGAUAAGAGAGAUAGGGCCCCUAUUGCAUCUUCGAGGGACACUGUGCCUCUCAAGAUUGGAGAAUGUGACUGAUGUCAAGGAUGCCAGGAGGGCCAACUUGAAAUGCAAGGAGAGGCUUGAUUCGUUGGUCCUAAAAUGGUCUCAUUCAAGCGACACGAGAGAAACGGAAUCCGUUGUGCUUGACAUGUUAGAGCCUCAUACAAAGCUCAAGGAGCUCACCAUCAAGAGUUAUGCCGUAGAGGAAUUUUCAUCAUGGGUUGGAGGUCAUUUGUUCUCUAAUAUGGUGCUUGUGCGGUUAGAGGAAUGUAACAAUUGUUUAUCGGUGCCACCUCUCGGACAAUUGCCUCAUCUCAAAGAACUUUAUAUUAGAGGAAUGAAUGCAGUGGAAAGUGUUGGUGCUGAGUUUUAUGGCGAGUGUAUCUUGCCUUUUCCGCUGUUAGAGAUUCUUGAGUUUGUGGAUAUGUAGCAUUGGAAGGUGUGGCUUCCUUUCCAACUGGAUCACGAAAGUGCUUUUUUCCCUUGCCUGAAAAGGCUUUCAAUCAAACGAUGUUCAAAGUUGGAAGGUGAGCUGCCAGAGAAGCUCGAUUUGUUAGCCGAACUUGAAAUUGUUAAAUGUGAGGAAUUGGUGGUUUCGAUUGCCAACUACAAACAACUUCGUCAAAUAAAAAUUGACGGUUGUAAAGUGUUGGUACAUACAGAUGCUAAGGUUGAGUUUGAGUUAUUAGAGUCCUUGUGGCUUUCAAACAUUUCGGAGGUGACGUCUCUGCAAACAGGGGAAUUGUUCAGGAAGGGAUUAAGCAAGGUUAGAGAUUUGAAGAUCCAUGGAUGUGAGAAGCUGACGUCUUUAUGGAAGAAUGAGGAUGCUAAGGUUGAGUUUGAGUUAUUAGAGUCCUUGUGGCUUUCAAACAUUUCGGAGGUGACGUCUCUGCUAACAGGGGAAUUGUUCAGGAAGGGAUUAAGCAAGGUUAGAGAUUUGAAGAUCCAUGGAUGUGAGAAGUUGACGUCUUUAUGGAAGAAUGAGGCUAGAUUAUUGCAGCGGUUGACUUGUCUUGGCCGUUUGGAAAUUGAAGACAACUCUUGUCUAGUUGAAGAAUUGGGAAAAGAAGCAGAGGAGUUGAUGCAAUUGCAAAUAUUGGAGUGCAAGCUUGAAUUUCUGGAGUUAAACAAGUGCGAAAAUCUUUGGACGCUACCAAAAGGAUUAAAUCAGCUGUCGUCUCUUAAAGAGCUUCGCAUUCACGAAUGUUCACGUCUAGUUUCUUUCCCAGAUGUUGGUCUGCCACCUUCUCUUAAAGACAUUGAGAUUAUAUCGUGCGCUUCGUUGAUAUAUUUUGCAAAAUUCCAGAUUCCCCAAAAUCUAAGAAGAAUAGAUAUAAGAGAUUGCAAAAGUUUGAAAUCACUAGUAGAUGAGGAGGAAUGUGAACGACUGGGUUUAAUAGCACCGAACGGGUUCUUCAGCGACAACACCAAUCACUGCCUUGAAUAUAUUCUGAUCUCGAAUUGCCAAAAUCUGAAAUCCUUACCGGAUGGCUUAUGCCACCUCAGCAAUCUUCAAAAGCUAUAUAUUGAACUAUGUGGAAGUCUUGUUUCCAUCCCGAGACUGAGUGGGGGGAGAAGACCCUCCAACCUGAGAACGAUCUGGAUCAUCGGAUGCGACAAAUUGGAGGCGUUGCCCGAAAACAUGCACAAUCUCAACUCUCUUGAGGAUUUGAGCAUCGACUACCGUGAAGGUUUGACUUUUCCUCCCAACCUAACAUCACUUGAUCUUUGGAAGGUCAAGAGUUGUAAGUCAUUGUGGGAGUUGGAGUGGGGGUUGCACAGACUCACCUCUCUUAGAUACUUGUAUAUCGACAGUGAAGACCCGGAUACGGUGUCGUUUCCACCCGACAUGGUACGGAUGGAGACGCUCUUCCCCAAAUCUCUCACUAACCUCGCAAUAGGUGGCUUCCCGAAUCUAAAGAAACUGAGCAGCAAGGGCUUUCAAUUCCUCACCUCCCUUCAAUCUCUGAAACUCUUCCGUUGUCCAAAGCUAGCAUCUAUUCCAAAGGAGGGUCUGCCUCCUUCGCUAGAGGAACUUUGGAUCGAAGGGUGUCCAGUGCUAAAAGAGAGAUGUCAACCAGGAAAAGGACGCUACUGGCACAAAAUAUCCCACAUCCCUUACAUAAGGAUAGAUUAUAAGAAGAUAUGAAGCUGAUGGUCCAGGUAUCAUCUCUCGAGGAAUGUUUUAAUAUUAAUAUUAUUAUUAUUAAUAUCUCACAUCCCUUUCAUAAGCAUAGAUUGGGAGUUGAUAUGAAGCUGAUGGUCCAGGUAUCAUCUCUCAAGGAAUGUUUUAAUAUUAAUAUUAUUAUUAUUAUUAAUCAUCUUUAUUCUUGUAAAGUAAAGUAAUCCACAUAUUUUGGUUUGGGUCAAGGCUUUGGGGGUUGAGGAGUGGCUACUUUGGGAGGCCUUUCAAUUGGCGUCAACGGGGAUAUUUCUCCGCCAACGUUUCUUCUCCCAGAUUCCUAUAUUUGCUUCUUUCUUUCUUUUUUUUAUUGGUAAACGAUUGCUAUGUUUGCUUGGUCCCUUUUCAUUGAUUUGUAUUAUAACUUUAUAAAUGUGCUACUCUUUCUCCCAGCAAGAUUUUAAUCAGGCCACUUUAAUCUAAUCUUUUAUUUUAUUUUAGCAAAUUUUGACUUAUGAGCUAGUAAUGCAUUUUAUUUAAUGCAUCGAGAAUAAGCAAUCAACAAAGAAAUGGAAAUGUAAAGAGCUCGUUGCUCAAGUGGGUACAAGAGUGAUUUUACCCUUGGCCGUUUGUUAUGCACUUGCUAGAGGCUUGUGGAACGAUGACCACUAAAUGACUUCCUUUACUAUAACUUGUCUUCCUGAAAGUAGAAAAUACGUGCCAACGAAUUUUGGUCAAUCAAAUCCUUAUACCAAGCCUUCAUCACUUGUUCAAAAAAUGCAUUAUUCAUCUAAUUGAUAUGUGAUAAAUUGGUGAUGAUUAUGCAUUUUAACCGAGUUCUAAGGAAAAUUGAAGAUAGUAAUACAUCAGUACUAAAACUACAAAAUAUUACUGAAUUUGUAUACUUAUUACUUGGGUGCCCUCUGCCUUGCUGUGCUGAAUAACAAUGAGAAUAUAUUACUGAAUUCUAGCAGGAAAAAGGCAGGCCACUCUCAAAAUUUGGUGAAUGGGACGUCAAUGAUCCUGCUUCAGCUGAGGGGUUUACUGUGAUCUUUAACAAGGCUAGGGAUGAGAAGAAGACAGGUGGAAAACCGGAGUCACCAGGAAAGGUUGAUCCUAAUAUCAGGCAUGGAGGAGUGGAUACUGGCACUGGCACUGGCAGGCCUUCGUCUGUAAGAUUUUUUCUCAUAACUCUGUCUCAUUUCUUUGUCUAAUGAUUUGAUAAUAUACACAUGAGACAGCCAAUAGCAAUACAUUCUUUACGGUUUUCUUAGUUGCAAGUUAUUGCUUUUCAAGUGACGUCAGUAGUACAACACAGCAUACCAUUUGAUGUGAAAAUCAAUGCAACUGACUUAUAUAGAACUCUAGUAAGGAAAUGUGGCAAAAGACAGAUCUAAUGUUAGGGCCAAGAUAUUUGAAAAAUAAAAGAACACAAGAUGAUUCGGCUGUUUUAUCUGCAUUAUUCCAUGGGAGUGGAAUUGGCAUACGUUAACUUCACUCAGGUUCCAUCUCCUUUUAGACAGAUGUAGCCUAAUAGGAACAUUUGUUUGUUUUAUUGUGAACAAUUGAAAGAACUAUUGGCCCUUGAAAUAUUUGCUCUUGUCAAUUGAUCAUUGUGUGGCCUUUUCGUUUUCUGUGUCUGCUGCAUUUCCAAUUAGUAGAAUAAUAGAACGAAUAACUGGACGGUAAUUAUUUCUGCUGCCAAAAUCUAAUAUGCUUAAAUUCCUCACUCUUUGUGGAUGAUUUGAUUUGGUUUGAUUUCCUGGUGCACAGAAAAAAUGGUUUUGCAGCAUUCAUCAACCACCAGCAGUUUUGUUGACAAUGUUGUUCUCCUAAGUGCUCCGAUGGAGGAGCACGGUGUUCUGUAACUGGCUCCACUAUAUUUCCUCUCUCACUGUAUGUCUAUGAAAUUGGCAGCCGGGUAAGUGAAGUUUGAAGCAAUGGUUAGCAGUUUGCCUAAGGAAAUCGUACAUGAUAUCCUUUUGAGACUACCUCCUAAAGCUUUGAUGAGAUGCACCUCGGUGUCCAAGCCUUGGAACUCCAUGAUAAAAAGUCCCAGCUUUAUUCGCACCAAGGUAUAAAAUAUCAAUGAUAUCGGAAAUGUCGGUAGUCCAAAAACACGGAAAUUUCGAUGGAAAUAUCGGGAUAUUAUCGAUAUCGAUAAAAAUUGAAUAAAAACCAUGGAAAUUGUUAGAAAAACUUGGAAAUUUUUAUUGAAACUUUGCUGGAUGUUUAUUUAGUCAAUUAUCUAUUAGUUUAUUACAAAAAAUUGGAAGGAAAUGCAUUGCAUGAUAGAUAUAACUGAUUUAAAUUGAUUAUAUAGCGAGCUGGCAAACAUGGUGAGUGUAGAAAAUAUGUAGUAAUUAAUGAAAGAAGUUUAAACACACCAUAAUCAUUUAUAUAUAAUGAAUUAGUACAAUAUUUUACACUUUAUACAUUUCAUGGUAAGAUACAUGAGUGACUUAGCAAGGUCUAAAAUAUCGAUGAUAUCGGAAAUAUCGGUAGUCCAAAAAAAUAUCACUAGUCCAAAAACGCGGAAAUUUCGAUGGAAAUAUCGGGAUAUUAUGGAUAUUUUAGACCAUGAUUCGCACCCACCUCAGCCGUACCAUCGAUUUUAAGCAGUUUGGCACCCACCGACUCCUUCUGCAUUGUGUUAGUGGAGACAAUCCAGUGGAGCAGAAUUACUAUUUGCAUUAUGAUAACCAUGCUUUUGAUGAGUACUGCAAGCUAGAGUAUCCAAGUGUUCCCAAGCGCAAGAGAUUUCUUCGUGUGGUCGGAAUGCGAGGAUCCGAAUACUUUUUAUGGGCUUAUUCACUUGCUAGAGGCUUGUGGAGUAGUCCUUGUUCUUUUGAUCCCGUUUGUAAAGUUUUUUAUUCUUGCAAAUUUCAGGCUUUUGUGAACUGGGCAGUUCAUUGGCUGGCAUGGCGCUGCUUGAACGAUGGUCGUUAUCAAAAUUUCAUUUUAGCAAUUGAUGUGGACGGUGAGUUAUUUUGCGAGAUAAGGGUGCUAAAGAGUUUCAGACAGGAUGAACCAUUAGAUUAUCACUUGUCUGUUUCAGGUGAUGGAAACUCCGUUGCUAUGUUCACGACAACGCGUGGUCGUAAUUGUCCUGAGGAUUUUCUUGACAUAUGGGUGAUGAAAGAGUAUGGCAUCGAGGAUUCAUGGGCCAAACUGAUAACUCUAAGUCCACCGGAUCCGGAAAGAAGGGUGCCCUACAAGCCCUUAUGUUUUAGGAACAAUGGUGAAGUAGUGUCCUGACUUUAUCACUUGUUCUAGUAAAAAACGUCGCAUGUACUGGGAUUUUCUCAGGGAUGCCUUGUGAUAUUCUGACAUGGGUAAAUUGUAGCAAUGGUCCCUCAUUUUUUAAUCAAAUUGGAGCAAUGAUUCGUCAACUAAAAUUUCAUUACCAUUGGUCCCUCAAUUUAUGAAAAUGUGUAGCUAUAGUCAUAUUCAUCAAUUUUGUCUAAAUAAGUUAUGUUGGAAUAAUCAUUUAUAUAAUUAGGGUCCCUCAAUUCAUCAAAGUGUGUAAUUAAGGUUCUUUUCGUCAACUACGUCAAAAUUUUUGUCAAAACGAGUUAUGUUGGACGGAUCAUUGCUACAAUUAGGUUAAAGUUAAGGGACUAUUUCUCCAGUUGAAUUAAAGUUGAGGGAUCAAUGGUAAUAGAUUUUUAGUUAAGAGACCAUAGCUGCACAUUUUGAUGAGUUGAGGGACCAAUAAUAAUGAAUUUUUAGUUGAGUGACCAUUGCUCCAAUUGAGUUAAAGUUAAGAGACCAUAGCUACAAUUUACUCUUCUAACAUUGCUGGAUGUUAGCUAGAGAUGAACAUUUUUCCUUUAGUUUGUCUGUUAAUUUAGAGACCUAGAAGAAGUUGCUUAUCACAACAUGUUGCCAAUGUUCAUGGAUAUAUACAGUUAAAUUAAUUUCUUUGAAAUUGCUUGUGAUAUUUUCGUGCCAAAUAGGAAGAGAAGAAAAUUGCAUAUCUUAUUUUUUUAGCUCUAAUAAGAUUUAUCUAGUCACGAGACUUUUACAAUAACUUUUGCUCCUAUGGUCAACCAAAAUAAUAAUAUUACAGUAGAGACUAGUAGUCCAUUAGUAAUUGUGUGUUCAACUGAAAGCAGCGAGAAAAAUACGUACCUUUUUCUCUUCUCUGUUUUCAAAGAAUUUUUUAUCUUCUUCCUCUGCAACCCUUGCAUGCAGGUUUGGCAGUAAAGUAAGUUUCCGCGCAAUUAAAAUAAUGGCAAACUAAUCUUUCGGUUUCGUACGAAGAUAGGAUAAUUUAUACUAAAUUAUUUUUUUGUCUUUUAUUAAAGAAUACAUUUAUAAAAAAAUAAAAAAAGAAGUUUUAAGUGUUUGGGAUCUUUUAAAUACCAAUUUCAAUACAGCUAUUAGUUUAAGUAACAUAAUUUUUAGUUUAGGUGCCAAUGAAAAAAUCAACUAAAAUAAUUCUAUAAAAACUAUUAUAAUUCAAAAUAAUUAUACGAUUGCCGCGUUUUCCGACCUGCCAACUGUAUUCGCAACCACCUCACCCUUACAAUCAAUCUUAAUAACCACGUUUCGACUGACCUCCUUGUACUGCAUUGUAUUCGCAUACACGAGCCAAGGGAGGAGCAUUAGUAUUUGCAUUAUGAUAAAUAACCAUGAUUUUGAUGAGUACUGUAGACUAGAAUUUCCAAUCAUUCCCAAGGGAGAAUGGUUUAAUACGACCUAUAGACUACAAGAACUCAAAUUCCUUUUUUGUUAUCUUCUGUAAACCAUCCAUUAGAGCUCUCGGCAGGCAGUGACCAUUUUUGAGGAAUGACUAGACACAUGUUGGGGCAUCAUCAUGACAUCAUAGGUGAACAAUACGAUUUCGCGUUUAAGUUUCUCUCUAUAUACAUCGUGUUAACUUUGUUUUUCUACUUUCCUAGCACGUUCCGGUUCGUGUAUUUUCAGUUUUUGUAUAGUGGAAAGGUCAAGUUGGUAGUAGAUUGACAUAGCGAAAAAAUUACUUGUCACUAAUUCAGUUUACCAAGCUUAAUUGGUCUCUCUUAACUUACAAAAUUGUCAUAAUAAGCUAGUAGUUUCACUUCAUGGAAAUCUUGCUCAAUGUUGUUUGACUUGUUUCCCUUCUUAAACAUCGAUCGAGAUGUUCGUUAAUUAAAUGCUAAUAAUACUUGCUCUUCACCUUCAAAUGGAUCAUAAGUUAAUAUAGCUCUGUGAUUAAUUAAGUAGUAUGACUCCAAAAUGGUAAAAGCAUAAUCCAUGAUAAUUUUGGUAAAUCUGAUCUCGGCAAGAUCAUGUUCUUCUCUUCUUGUUGUGUGGCUCACGUUGUUUCAGAGUCUUUUACUGUUUAAAAUUAAUUACUAUUCCACCCGAAGUUUCACGUUUGGGUCCUCUUCUUAUAGCGGAAACGAAAAAGUAUAACCGUGUAGGAUAUUUGCGAUAAGAAAGCAAUCAAAAAGAAAACAAUAUGACCCCACGAAAAAUAAAGAGAGAACAAAAACAAGGAAUCUUUCUUUCUUUACGGGCAGAAAGAUGAAGACAUGUUAGUCUUUUAACACGUAUCGCAAUGGCAAAUUGAAGUAGUUAUCGUCGAAAGAGGAAGACUUGUUAUAGUCUUUCAAGUCGACACCUAAUUAUCCUAGCAAAUUGAUCUGUAAAGUAGUCUACAAAAACUCAAAUUCCAUUUAAACUACCUGUUUUAUUAAAGGAAUAUACUAUCCGCAUAUCUAUUUUUACUUAUCAGACACUCUUUUUUACUUCUCACAUCCCCUUUGUUAACUUUUGUCCUUUGAUCUACUUCAAUUCAUCCGAUCCGACACCGAAAAUUAAAAUGAUGUGUGAGAAGUAAAAAAAGGUGUGUGGAUAUCACACCAUUUUACUAAAUCCUAAAUUGUAUAACUCCUUCAAAUAUAUCAAAGGCGAAUAUGGUACCUUCUGUAAACAAUCCGGUAGAGCUCUCAGCAGGCAAUGAUAAUAUUUAGGGAAUGACUAGACACAUGUUGGGACGUUAUCGUGACAUCAUGGGUUAACAAUACAAUUUGUGUUUAAAUUUCUCUUCACUAGCUUAGUUUUUCUACUUUCCUAACAUGUUCGGGUUCGUGCAUUUUCAGCUUUUGGGUAGUGGAAAAGUCAAGUUGCUGGUAGACUAAGUAGUGAACAAGUAGAUUCACACGGCAAUACAUAAGUCAAAAAUUACUCGUCACUAAUUCAGUUCUACCGAGUUUAGUUUGUCUCUCUUAAUCUUCAAACUUACAUAAUAAGCUAGUAAUUUCACUUCAUGAAAAUCUUGCUCAAAGUUGUUUGACUUGUUUCCUUUCUUUAGCAGCUAGACGUUCAAUUAUAUGCUAAUAAAACUUGCUCUUCAUCUUCAAUUGAUCUAAAAUAUAGCUCUGCGACUAAUUAAGUAGUAUGACUACAAGAUGGUUAACAAUAAUCCAUGGUAACCUUUUGCAGGAUCAUUUUCUUCUUCUUUGUGUUGUGUGGCUUAGGCUGUUUGAGUCUUUUACUACUUUAAAUUAAUUUAAGGAAAACUAAUGAAAAUGACUUGAAAACUUUGAGUUUUAACGAAAAUGACAAAAAUGUGUUGUAAAUGAAUAGUAUCAAUAUUGACUUUUUAGAGUAAAAAUGUGAUUUUUUGUUAAAGUAACAGUACCUUGAGUUUUUCUUCGUUAAAGUUUCGUUAAAUUUAUUGUCUCAACAUUAUCUACAAUGGCCUAAAAAAUUAAUCACCCUUUCAAACUAAUAUAAUCGGUAUUGCAAGAAAUGCAACUCAGUUGUUUACCAGCAAUCACCCUUUCACCCUAAAUUGCGUGUUUGGUUCCUCAUCUCCCAAAAUCGUUCGUAUAAAUGAAAAGAAAAUGUAUAACCGUGUAGGACAUAGGAGAUAAGAAAGCAAUUAAAAAGAUAAAAGAGGAAUCUGUCUUUUUUGGCAGAAAGAGGAAGACUUGUUAUAGUCUUUCAACACCUAAUCAUCAUUGCAAUUUGAAGAGCCUCGACUAGAAGAAAAAGACGUCUUAUGUACUCGGAAUUUUCUCCGGGAUGCCUUGUGAUAUUCUGAUAUUGCUGCUAGAAAUAAACAUUUUUCCUUAAGUUUGUCUGCUAAUUUACCGUCCUAGAAAAAGUUGCUUAUCACAACAUGUUGCCAAUGUUCAUGGACAUAUACAGUUAAUGAGUUUCUAUGAAAAUGUUGUCGAUAUUUUCGUGCCAAAUGUUGAGUGCAUCAUCUAUUUGUUGUAGCCUUAAUUUCUAGUUGCCCUCCAACUUUCAACGUUGCUUUGCUUAAUUGCAAACCUUUCAUCUCUUAUUGUGCUUUCUUCUCAAUAUUCUCACACCUCUAUAAGGCGAGAAGCAAAUUACAUAUCUCGGUUUCAAAGCUUUAAUAAGAUUUAUAUCUCUCUCAUUACAAAACUUUUACAAUAAAUUUUCCUCCCAUGGUCUAUCAAAAUAAUAAUAUUUCAGCAGCGACUAUCUAUUAUCAUAAAUUUUGGUGCAUUUGAAAGCAGCGAGAACAAUACAUUUUUAUUUUAUUUUUUCUCAAAUAAAUUUUUUGGUCAUUUUCCUCUGCAACCCUUGAGUUUCAACCCACUUUAUUUAUAAGAGUGAGGAGAACAAAUUUUUAAACCAAAUUUUGUAAAUAAAAUGAUAUGUCACUAAUAAAAAAUAAGUACGUUAAUUAAUACUUGAAUAAUUUGAUCUCUCUAACAUUAUUCUUAAAAUAAUGGUAAACUAAUUUUUUUAUUUAUUUUUACGAAUGAUAGAAUAAUCUAUUAAACUAUUGUGUUUUUUUUCUUUUUGUGAACAAUAAGACAAUAAACUAUUAUUUCGCCUUUUAUUAAAGAGUACUAAAAAAACGAAGUUUUUGAGAUCUUUUAAGUACCAAUUCCAAUAAAACUUUCAGGGUAAGUAACGUGAUUUUUAGUUUACAAAUAUUAAAAAAAACUAAUGAAAAUGACUUGAAAAUUUUGAGUUUUAAUGAAAAAGACAAAAAUGUGUUGUAAGUGAAUAGUACCAGAAUUGACAUUUUAAAGUAAAAAUGUGGUUUUUUGUUAAAGUGAGCAGUACCGAAAGAGUUUCGUUAAAGCUCCCAAAUACUAAUGAAAAAGUUAACCAAAAUAAAUCUACAGAUAUUAGAGCAAGUCCAUCCCUGAAAACUUUGUGCCAGCACCCAGCGUAUUUAUAUCUCCAUCGGCACCCGGAUGCAGUGUUAAAUGAGCAAGGGGGCUAUAGAAACUUCUUUUCGAACGACUCCACUCAAAGUUGUUUGGGAGCAUAUGCUCCUAUCAACUUUACACGGGACACACAAAAGAAGUACUUUGAUCCUAUUAGACGGGGAAGGGUGAAGAAGCUAGGACAGAAGGGUAGAGUUCAAGAGAGCAAAAUGCGUUUAGGAACGUGGAAUAUAGGAACCUUGACGGGAAAAUCUAUGGAAGUAGUAGAAGUUAUGGUGAGGAGAAGGAUAAAUAUUAUGUGCCUACAAGAAACUAAGUGGGUUGGGCGUAAGGCAAAGGAUCUAGAAAACUCAGGGUUUAAACUAUGGUAUUCGGGCACAAAUAGAACGAGAAACGGUGUUGGCAUCAUCGUGGACAAGACCUUGACACAAGAUGUUGUAGAUGUCAAGAGGGUAGGAGAUAGAAUCAUGGCAAUCAAGAUUGUAAUAGGACAAGAACUUAUCAAUGUGAUUAGUGCGUACGCACCUCAAGUAGGGUUGGAUACGAGUUCGAAGGAGAAAUUUUGGGAAGACCUUGGAGACUUGGUGCAAGGAAUUGCUCAGACGGAGAAGUUAUUUAUAGGAGGAGAUUUAAAUGGACACGUGGGCAGGGAGACAGGCAACUAUGGAGGUUUUCAUGGUGGCCAUGGUUUUGGGGAGAGAAACGAGGAUGGGGAAGCUAUCUUGGAUUUUGCAAUGGCAUAUGAUCUCUUCUUAGCCAACACCUUCUUUAAGAAGCGGGAAGAACAUGUGAUCACCUACAAGAGUGGGUCGUCAAAAACACAAAUAGAUUUUCUUCUAAUGAGGAAAAGGGAUCGUAUAACUUGUAAGGAUUGCAAAGUUAUACCAGGAGAGAGCGUGGCUAAUCAACAUCGCUUGUUGGUGAUGGAUGUACAUAUCAAAAGAGUGAGAAAAAAGAACAAGACUUGGAAGUGCCCAAGGACUAGAUGGUGGAAUCUAAAAGAAGAAAAACAAGCAAUUUUCAAAGAGAAAAUAAUCACCCAGUGUGUGUGGGAUAGAGAGGGGGAAGCUAACCAAAUGUGGGAUUCCAUGGCUAGUUGUAUCCGAAAAGUAGCAAAAGAGGUAUUAGGAGAGUCCAAGGGCUUUGCCCCACACCAAAAGGAAUCUUGGUGGUGGAGUGAGGAGGUACAAACAAAGGUGAAGGCUAAGAAGGAAUGUUGUAAAGCCUUAUACAAGGAUAGGACCGAUGAAAAUGGUGAAAGGUAUAGAAAAGCGAAGCAAGAGGUGAAGAAAGCUGUGAGAGAAGCUAAGUUAGCGGCUUAUGACGAUAUGUAUAAACGACUAGAUACCAAAGAAGGAGAGUUGGAUAUCUAUAAACUAGCUAGAGCAAGGGAAAAGAAGACAAGGGACCUAAACCAAGUGAGGUGCAUCAAGGAUGAGGAUGGAAAGGUUCUUGCUACAGAGAACGCGGUUAAAGACAGAUGGAAAGGUUAUUUUCAUAAUCUUUUCAAUGAAGGACAUGAAAGGAGUGCUUCUUUAGGGGAGUUGAGUAACUCAGAAGAGUGUAGAAACUACUCUUUUUAUCGUAGAAUCCGGAAGGAAGAAGUGGUUGUAUCUUUGAAGAAGAUGAAGCAUAGAAAAGCAGUAGGCCCAGACGAUAUACCAAUCGAAGUGUGGAAAGUUUUGGGAGAGACAGGUAUAACAUGGCUCACUGACAUUUUCAAUAGGAUUUUGAAAACGAAGAAGAUGCCAAAUGAGUGGCGAACGAGCACUUUGGUGCCUAUCUACAAGAAUAAGGGCGAUGUACAAAAUUGCAUGAACUAUAGGGGUAUUAAGCUAAUGAGUCAUACAAUGAAGCUCUGGGAGAGAGUCAUUGAGCAUAGAUUGAGGCAAGAGACACGGGUUUCGGACAACCAAUUCGGGUUCAUGCCAGGGGCGCUCAACCAUGGAGGCAAUCUAUCUCUUACGAAGAUUGAUGGAAAGAUAUAGAGAUGGGAAAAAGGAUUUACACAUGGUCUUUAUAGAUUUGGAAAAAGCGUAUGAUAGGGUCCCAAGAGACAUUCUUUGGAGGAUUUUAGAGAAGAAAGGAGUACGAGUAGCAUAUAUCCAAGCUAUACAGGAUAUGUAUGAAGGAGCAAAGACUGCCGUAAGAACUCAUGAAGGACAAACCGAAAGCUUUCCCAUAACUGUAGGAUUACAUCAAGGCUCAUCCUUAAGUCCUUACCUUUUUGCGUUGGUAAUGGAUGAGUUAACAGGACAUAUUCAAGAUGAUAUUCCUUGGUGUAUGCUUUUCGCAGACGAUAUAGUGUUGAUAGAUGAAACUCAAGAAGGGGUAAAUGCAAAGAUUAACCUUUGGAGAGAAGUGUUGGAAUCUAAAGGUCUUCGCCUAAGCCGAUCAAAGACAGAAUAUAUGGAGUGCAAGUUCAGUGCAAAUGGAGGCCAAAAACGAGUUAGGGGUGAGGAUCGGAGAUCAAGAAAUACCAAAGAGCGACCGUUUUCGUUACCUAGGAUCUAUCUUGCAAAAGAACGGAGAAUUAGAUGGAGAUCUCAACCAUAGAAUACAAGCUGGAUGGAUGAAGUGGAAGAGUGCAUCCGGCGUGUUGUGUGACCGCCGUAUGCCACUGAAGCUCAAGGGAAAAUUUUAUAGGACGGCAAUAAGGCCGGCGAUGCUGUAUGGCACAGAAUGUGGGGCGGUGAAGCAUCAACACGUACACAAAAUGGGUGUAGCGGAGAUGAGGAUGCUUCGUUGGAUGUGUGGGCACACGAGAAAGGAUAAGAUUAGGAAUGAGGAUAUCCGGGGUAAAGUAGGAGUAGCCGAAAUUGAAGGAAAGAUGAGAGAAAAUCGGUUACGGUGGUUUGGACAUGUGCAAAGAAGGCCUACUGACGCUCCGAUUAGAAGAUGCGACUAUGGGACAGAGGUUCAGGGCCGAAGGGGUAGAGGAAGACCCAGGAAAACUUUGAGAGAGACCCUAAGAAAAGACGUAGAGUACUUGGAUCUAACGGAGGACAUGACACAGGACAGAACACAAUGGCGUUCUAAGAUUCAUAUAGCCGAUCCCACUCAGUGACUUGGAUUUUUCCAAGUCUCCAACCGAAAAGUUUGUCCUCGCUCGGGAAAUUAAGGGAACACUACCUCAACCUACAUGCUCCACUCACAAAGCUCCAACAUACAAGCUUCAACAAAAGAAAAUUCAAAGAACUUAGCGAAGAAGGCUUUGGUGAUUUAACACAAUACGUUGAAAUGAAGGAAAGCUUAUUUAUUGAUAUCCCCGAUAAAUUACAAAUAUGUACAUAUACUUGAGUCAAAAUAAACAAACAAGAGGAAGCCUUCACAAAGGUUGCUUAGGAGAAGUCUCGGCAGUCGGUAGAGCCCCAGAAAGAGAAGGCACCGGAGGGGGAUCAUUCGGAGCCUCAGUACUGGACAGAACCCUAGAAGGAGGAGGCAUCAGAGGUUGAUCAUUUGGAGCUUCAUUACGCGGUACAGCCCCAGAAGACGAAGGCAAUAAAUGCCUUUGGAACAAACCCACAAAUCUCUGAUGAUCAAGUAAAACCUGACCAUCAGAUUCCUUCAUCUGGUCAAGCUUCCUCUUCAUGUUUGUAGCAUAGUCAUGUGCGAGCCGGUGCAACUGUUUAUUCUCAUGCUUGAGCCCUCUAAUCUCCUGUUUGAGACUCAUCACUUCAGCCGCCAAUGAUUCAACUUGGCGGGUUCGAGCAAAUAGGUGUUGGGCCAUAUUAGACACAGAACCUGCACACUGAACACUAAGAGCCAGAGAAUCCUUAACAGCCAACUCAUCAGACCGUUUGGAAAGUAGUCUGUUAUCUUUGGGAGUGAGAAGGUUCCUGGCCACUACCGCAGCGGUCAUAUCAUUCUUCAUAACGGAAUCCCCAACGGUAAGAGGACCAGUAUGGGAGACGAAGGAUGGGCGCCAUAUGUUGUCUGGAGAAGGUGGGGCUGCCUCUUCAACAAGGUUCAAGUCAAAACGACGGUCGGAGGGGCCAGACAUUUUCAAAGGUGUAGAAGAGAGAAGAGGUCGGACAAAUCAAGAUCUUAGAAGUGCAAGAAUGGAGCUUCUACUGGUGGAUAUUCAAGUGUGCUUUGGAACUUAAUGUCAACCUCUAUAAAAAUCUGCACUCGACGAAGCUUCAGAAAUCGAAGAGGCGUUUGCUUUCUCAAAAGCUGGGCUGCUCAGAGACCACGAGGGUCGAUCUCAGAAAUCGAAGAGGCGUUUGCUUUCUCAAAAGCUGGGCUGCUCAAAGACCACGAAGGCCGAUCUCAGAAAUCGAAGAGGUUUGCUUUCUCAAAAGCUGGGCUACUCAGAGACCACGAGGGCCGAUCUCAGAAAUCGAAGAGGUUUGCUUUCUCAAAAGCUGGGCUGCUCAGAGACCACGAGGGCCGAUCUCAGAAAUCGAAGAGGUUUGCUUUCUCAAAAGCUGGGCUGCUCAGAGACCACGAGGGCCGAUCUCAGAAAUCGAAGAGGCACCUACUUUUCCAACCUUGUCAGCACCUGUCACACGCACACUCAGCUUUGCGGAAAUUAUGGGCAUUCUAUCGAAGAUUUCUGGCGAAGUAGAAAGCACAUGAAUCGUACUGUUCAAUCACCCACUUCCCACACGCAACAGUAGCUCAUGGGUACCACAUAUAACUUUGCCAAAGUUCUCUGACAAAGUUGAGACUACUUUUCCAGCCUUGUCAGCACCUGUCACACGCACACUCAGCUUUGCGGAAAUUAUGGGCAUUCUGUCGAAGAUUUCUGGCGAAGUAGAAAGCACAUGAUUCGUACUGUUCAAUCACCCACUUUCCACAUGCAACAGUAGCUCAUGGGUACCACAUAUAACUUUGCCAAAGUUCUCUGACAAAGUCGAGACAUGUGAAGCUUGCAACUCUCACUACAUCGCUCUGACCAAGAAGGGUAAAAGAAUAGCAAAGAAACAACACUAACAAAGUUUAGACACAUAAAUUUUGAAGGGCUAGCUACCAUAUUAUUACCCACAAGGGUAAAGGAACAGUACCACUGCUGGAUAAUUGGAAAGUCCCUGUGUGUCAACCUCUGUGCUUCAUGGCAAGGUAGACUAGCAAACAUGCCCAACCUUUACUCACAUUCGAAAAAACACUCCCAACAAGAUUGCUUGCCCCAAAAUCGAUGAGGCAUCGCCUCCGAAUCUCGAGAGCCAGACUCCCAACAUGAUUACUUUCUCAAAAAUCGAAGAGAGGGUAAAGGAACAGUACCACUGCUGGAUAAUUUGAAAGUCCCUGUGUAUCAACCUCUGUGCUUCGUGGCAAGGUAGACUAGCAAACAUGCCCAACCUUUACUCACAUUCGAGAAAACACCCCCAACAAGAUUGCUUGCUCCAAAAUCGAAGAGGCACCGCCCUCCGAAUCUCGAGAGCCAGACUCCUAACAUGAUUACUUUCUCAAAAAUCGAAGAGAGGGUAAAGGAACAGUACCACUGCUGGAUAAUUGGAAAGUCCCUGUGUGUCAACCUCUGUGCUUCGUGGCAAGGUAGACUAGCAAACAUGCCCAACCUUUACUCAUAUUCGAGAAAACACUCCCAACAAGAUUGCUUGCUCCAAAAUCGAAGAGGCACAGCCCUCCGAAUCUCAAGAGCCAGACUCCCAACAUGAUUACUUUCUCAAAAAUUGAAGACACCGCUCUCCGAAUCUCGAGAGCCAGACCCCCAGCAUGAUUGCUUUCUCAAAAAUCGAAGAGGCAUCGUUCUCCGAAUCUCGAGAGCCAGAUCCCCGACAGGAUUGCUUGUUCGAAAACCGAAGAGGCACCACUUUCCCAACUUCAAGAGCCGGAUCUCCUUGGAUAAAGCUUGUCUGUAAUCUUCACACGCAACAUCAGCUUUCCAGAUACCACAGACCACUUUUUCAAAGUGCUCUAACAGAGUUAAAACUUGUGAAGCUGGCAGCUCCCACUACCGUGCUAUGACCAAGGAGGGUAAAGGAAUAGCAUUAUUACUUGAUGUUAGGGAGACUCCUAUAUAUGUCGACCUCCAUCCCCAACGAACAGGCAGACCUGCAAAAAUGCUCAACCCUUCCUCUUAUCUGAGAGGGCACUCCCAACGAAGCCUUUCGAAAUAUUCAGCUUUCUUUCCCCCCGAUAAUACCUCUGUAAACAAGCUAUACUAGAGCAAGAAUAUCUCAUAUCAUCAGGGUUAAAAGCAAGAGUAUCCCAUAUCAUGCUUUUUCCCUGUCUUUUCCUUUGGCCUUGUUCUUACUUGCAAGACAAGGAGAAAAGAGAGCAAUCAGUCAGCACUUGGAAUCAAGCUUCCAGCCAGGAACUGACUGCCUGGAACCCCUUACCCUGGCAUUGCUCUCGAGUACUCAUCUUCAACAUCUUAUGCUUCCAGGGAAGAUACCGCAUCUGCCUGAGGAACAGAUAGGGCAAGUGAGAAGGAUACAAGGAAGCAUGUGGAGACAAGCGUAACAGCACACGUGCCGAUACAUCCACUACUCUGUCAAAAGCAAAAGUAUCCCAUAUCAGCAGGGUCGAACGUACUCUAGAUUUGAUGGACUUGUUUUGACCCUCAAAUUCUUCAGUCGGCCUUAUACUUUGGAGGAAACCAUAAAACCCUCCAGCCCAGUUCAAGAAUAAGCCUGUGGAAAGUUACUUCUUCAAAAGCAAAAGUAUCCCAUAUCAUCUCUUCUCAUUUUUCUUCUCUUUAUCCUUCAUGCUGCCUGCAAGAUAGGGAGAAUGUGAACAAUCAGCCGGAGCUCUGAUUGUUUACCUUGUCUGUUACCUCUUUCAGCAGAUCCCCUAGCUCGGCGACUUGGGGGACUCCUACUACAUGGUUUGUAUCGCGCUUGACCAAGCCUGAAACUACAAGUAAGCUUCAAGUGACAUUGAUACAUUACCUUGUGCAUCUCCACCAGUUACAGAUACCACCCCUGGAUGGAGGAAGAGUACUUCCAGAGAAGAUUCCACAUCUACCUAUGAGACAGAUAAGGAAAGUCAAGACGAUACCACACUCCGGUACUUAGAAGUUUCGUGGUUACGAGAUCAUUCUCCCACAAUAUUUCCUAAUGUCAUUUGUACUAAAUCAUUCACUUGUACUCCCUAAAGGAGAGCUUGAACCUAUGUACUUGUGUAAACCCUUCACAAUUAAUGAGAACUCCUCUAUUCCGUGGACGUAGCCAAUCUGGGUGAACCACGUACAUCUUGUGUUUGCUUUCCUAUCUCUAUCCAUUUAUAUACUUAUCCACACUAAUGACCGGACCAAUCUAGCGAAGAUCACAAAAAGUGACCGUUUUCGCUACCUAGGAUCUAUCUUGCAAGAGAACGGAGAAUUAGAUGGAGAUCUCAACCAUAAAAUACAAGCUGGAUGGAUGAAGUGUAAGAGUGUAUCCGGCGUGUUGUGUGAUCGUCGUAGGCCACUGAAGCUCAAGGGAAAAUUUUAUAGGACGGCAAUAAGGCCAACGAUGUUGUAUGGCACAGAAUGUUGGGCGGUGAAGCAUCAACACGUACACAAAAUGGGUGUAGCGGAGAUGAGGAUGCUUCGUGGGAUGUAUGGGCACACGAGAAAGGAUAAGAAUGGGAAUGAGGAUAUCCAAGGUAAAGUAGGAGUAGCCAAAAUUGAAGGAAAUAUGAGAGAAAAUCGGUUCCGGUGGUUUGGACAUGUGCAAAGAAGGCCUACUGACGCUCCGGUUCGAAAAUGUGACUACGGGACAGAAGUUCAGGGCCGAAGGGGUAGAGGAAGACCUAGGAAAACUUUGGAAGAGACCCUAAGAAAAGACUUGAUUACUUGGAUCUAACGGAGGACAUGACACAAAACCGAGCGCAAUGGCGUUCUAAGAUUCAUAUAGCCGACCCCACUUAGUGGGAAAAGGCUUUGUUGUUGUUGCUUCCUUUCCCUUUCCGGUCCUUUCUUUAUCAUUUAUUUUUUCUGCUUUCUUCUUUCUUCCUUUCCCUCACCAUGUCGGUACCCAGGCUUCAACCUUCACUGCACGAUCGCACGACCUCGACACCCAGGGCUUCAACCUUCACCGCACGAUCGCACGACCUCCGACCAAGACCUCGACACCCAGGGCUUCAACCUUCACCGCACGAUCGCGGAGCUCAACCUGGACCACCUCAACAAGGUGUUCAUGGCCGUCGGGUUUCUGAAGACAUGAAGACGAAGUGGCCGGUGGCGUUCACGAUCGUGCGAUCGCGGAGCUCAACACGGACUCGCUACUGUGAAUGGAGUACAUGAAGACGAACCGGCCGGUGGCGUUCACAAGGUCGACGGGAGACGGCCUCCAGUUCAAACUUCCUUCGGACGCCAUGCUGGCGUCACCAUGGCAUCAGAUAGGCCGGUCCCAAGGUCUGUCGAUUUUAGGCCGGCCUGUGGACUGGCAUGGGCUGGGUGCCAGUCAAUUGGGUCGGCUAGAGCAAAUUCACUGGGUCCUGGCCUAUUUUUUCGGCUGGGUGCUGGGCAAAAAGUCCUCCAGUGGACUUGCUCUUACUAUAUAGAAUUCAAAAUAAUUAUACGAUUGCCAUUUUUUGUUUACCGGUCAACUGUAUUCCCAACGACCUUACCCGCACAAUCAAUCUUGAUAACCAGGUUUCCACUAACCUCCUUGUACUCGAUUGUGUUCGCAUGCAUGAGCCAAGGUAGGUGCAUUACUAUUUGCAUUCUGAUAAACAACAAUGAUUUUUUAUGAAUAUUGCAGACUAGAAUUUCCAAUCAUUCCCAAGGGAGAACGGUUCAAUCAUAACAUCAUGGGCUAAGAAUACAAUUUCAUGUUUAAGUUUUUCUCCACAUACAUCACGUUAACUUGGUGUUUUUUACUUUCCUAGCAUGUUCCCUUCUGUGCAUUUUCAGCUUUUAAAUAGUGACUUAUUAGUGAAAAAGCAGAUUCACAUGACGAAGACAUAAGUAUAAAAUUACUUGUCACUAAUUCAGUCAUCAAGCUUAAGUCAUCUAUUUUAAUCUUCAAAAUUAACACAAUAAGCUAGAAAAUUCAGUUCAUGAAAAUCUUGCUCAAUGUUGUUUGACUUGUUUCCUUUCUUAAACGUUUAGAUGCUCAUUAAUUAUAUGCUAAUAAAACUUGCUCUUCAUCUUCAAAUGGAUCAUAAUCCAAUAUAGCUCUGUUACCAAUUAACUAGCAUAACUACAAGUCUACAAGACAACUUUGGUAAAUCCGGUGCCGGCAGGAUCAUUUUCUUCUUCUUUGUGUUGUGUGGCUCAGGUUUUUUUUCAGUCUUUUACAAUUUUAAAUUGAUUGUCUCUACAUUAUCUACCAUGACCUACGAACAAUUGAAACAAUCACCCUCCCAAAAUAAUAUGAUCGGUGUUGCAAGGGAUUGUAGCUUAGUUGUUUACAAGCAGAUAUUUUUUUAUUUUUUUUAGUACAUCUUCUUUAUGUUAAGGAAGAGAAGAAGUUUGGCUAAGCCACACAAUGAAUAGCCUAAUUUGAUAUCAAAUUCGUCAUCUACAAUAUUCGAACCUAAGGCCUCUACUUAUAAGUGAGGAGGAAUAUCAUUAGAUCGUAGUACUAGGUGUUGCAAUUAGUCAUUUUUUUGUUGAGAAUAAAUCUCAUAUUAAUGAAAUGAGAGACUUUGUAUGUGCUUAUAAUAAGUAGUUGAGGUACUCUCCCUAUUGUCAAAUUUUUUUUGGUGGAACUUCAACAUUUUUCAUGCUAUCAAAACAAGUUGUCUCAUGUAUGACACAUAAUGGCUUUACGUGAUCCAUAUCUUUCGAGUUGUAUUAUUCACAUGUUAAACUUAAAAUUCGUCAUACGUAACGGAACAUAUUAAGAAUGAAUCUCAUAUUAAAAAAAAAAAAAAGACUUUGAAAUCUCAAGUUUAUUCUAUUUCCAUCCAAAGUUCUAUAUUUGAUUUCCCAUCUCCAAAAUCGUUCCUAUAAAGAAAAAGAAAAAGUAUAACGUACGUGUAGGGCUUUGGAGAUAAGAAAUCAAAUAAAAAGACAACAAUAUGACCCCACGAAAAGUACAGAGGGAAAAGAGGAGUCCUUCUUUGUGGGCAGAAAGGUGCAGACUUGUUAUAAGUCUUUCAACACCUAAUUAUCAAAAGCAAAUUGCAGAGUUCGAGAGUAGUCUGGAUCUGUUGAUUUUUAUAAUCUAUGGAAACAAGUCCCUUCAUCUGAAAACUUGUACGCAGUAAGUUCCUCUUGCAACUAUAUAUGCGAAAUUCAUUAUUUAUUAAUGAAUUAUUUCAUUUUUCUUGAAGUUUGUAUAUUUAAUUAAAGAUUUCAUCAAUAACCAGCUAUAUAAUUUGUGCUGUUUUCAGCCUUGAUUAUUCCAUCAUUCGGUCUGGAUUUGUUGACGAUAAGUGCAAACAAGUGCCCUCAUGACCUGACAGGCUUCCAUGUAACUGCUGCUUGCUUCAGAUCAUGCCCAAUAUUUGUGCAACGGUGCAAGUUUCGAGUCUUGAAGCGUAGGGUUGCAAGAAUUCCCCCCUGCAGUUACGGGUAAUCCCAAAACUGCCCAUUUUUUGUCCAGUUCAAAUUUAAGAAAAAUAAUGUUUACUAGUAUAUGAUUUUUGCAAGCUUGAGUUUUUCUUUUUGCUCGUCUUUUAAAUUUAUAUGGUGUGUUUUAUUGUGCUUUAUUAUUUAUUGUGUUUUAUGUCAUCUCAAAUGACAAGUGAAUCAAAUGUACACAAUUAACAAUUAAUGGGAUAAAUUUAUUAAUUGAUGUGACAUAUCACAUCAAAUUGUACAUAAAUAUGGUACAAACAUAUGUGAUUCCCUUAACAUUUUCGGAUUUUCCUAGUAAUAUUAUAUGGCGUGUUAUUGUGCUUUAUACAUACAAUAUCAAGUUUUUUUUUUUUUUUUUUUUUUGCUUUUUAUUGGAACAUACAAUAUCAAGUUAUUAGGGACUGUAUACCUGGUGGUGGGAAGGUUAUGAUGUAGGCAACCUUGAUCUGAAUCCGGCCCGUUGCCAUCCUUUGCUAUUCCCAAAUUGUUAUCUCUAGAUAUGCUUACUAGGAGUCUCCAUUAAUUGAAUAUUAUUUCAAUUUUACUAUAAAUUUAUAUAGGUAAAUGCUAGGGACAUUAAAUUACUUUAGUCUAAAGUAAGGUUUGAAAUUGGCACUAUUUAAAUGAACAGUGUUUCAAUCCGAAUUUCAGAUUAAUUACAACCAUGCCAUUGGUCUUUGUGUUGGUUUUGGGUCAGCAGCCAGGCCCUCAGCCAUGCCCAAAUGUGUUGGUUUUAGCUGGGAAGCCCCGCCCUCAGUGAGGCCCAAAUUGUUAAUUACAAUUUUGCCCAUCUAAGAUUACAAUCCAAUGGUGGAGAUGGUGUAUUAAGAAGGGCAAUUUUGUCCUCUCCGUUUUGGGCGAGAUAGGGGGUCAUCGGGUAGGUAUCAUUUGCUGUCGUUCAAUUAGGGUUUCAGGGAGGGUCUGAGAGAGAGAGAGAGAGACAGAGAGAGAUGGCGAUGGGAGGAGAGCGAGGGGGAGGGGUAGGGCUCUCGGCACUGUUGUUGCGGAUGGGAGGGUCGGUAUGGUCAGAGAAGACCAUAUGGGUCGUCGGGAUUUCAGGGAGACGGGGUAGGGGUCAUCAACAAACCCUAUUGAGAGUGGGGUGUGCUGGAUCUUGCGCUGCAUGCCUCGAAUCCAAAGAUAAGUUCUUUUUAAAAUUGUAUUCUUUAAUGGUGCCUUAGAUUUUCUAAUUGUUUAGUAUGUUAGGUCCGGUUUUGGGGGAUUUGUGAUUUUACAGAGAGAGAUGGAUAGGGAGAUAGAGAUAGAGAGAGAGAGGAGAUAGCAUGGGUGUGUGCAUUUUUUUGAGUUAAUUAAUGGGUUAGUGCGCAUGUCAGUGAGGAGAGUGACAGAGGGGUGAAUGGCAUUGGCAGGGUAUGGGUUUUCAGUUUUUCCCUCUGAUUCAAUAGGUUAUGCACUGUUUGAAAAUAAAUUGUUUAUUGUUUUGUUUUCCGUUUGCUUUGUUAAAACCAUCAUUCGAAUUUUUCGGUUUCACUGUGCUCAUUUCUGUGCUUCUUCAAAAUUUUCUGGUGUUUGCUUUUCAUUCCUAUGUUGGUUGAUUUUUUUUUUUUCCCAUUUCUUGGUUCCUUAUGUAUUUCUUGGUUCUGUCUAAUUUUUUGCUGUGGGAUGAUGCUUGCAGGUGAACCUGAAAACAGCAUACAAGAUAGAGAACUGGUAUGCUAUUUUGUCUUUCUGUUGGAUUUUGAUGUUUAUGUUCUGCUACUAAGAGGAUUUUAUAGUGUUCUAAAUCUGUUUUGUAAAUGUGCUUAAAGAUUGGACAUGUUCUUGAAUGUUAGCCAUGUUGUUUGAAUUGGAUAUGUGAUUGAAUAUUAGGUAUUUAGUUUGAAUUGAUCUGGAUAUGUGGUUUAUUGAACUAGAAUUUGGAUAUGUGCUGAUUUGAAUUGAGUAUGUUGAAUUAGAGAUGUGCUACUUUGAAUUAAGUUGAAAAAUGGCAAGCCAUGGUAUAUUGAAUGUUUUUUUUUGCCCCAAAUUUACAUAAGUCCCAAAGGGUGAAUGUCGUCCCAAAACUUUACAACAACAACAACAACAAAGCCUUUUCCCACUAAGUGGGGUCGGCUAUAUGAAUCCUAGAACGCCAUUGCGCUCGGUUUUGUAUCAUGUCCUCCGUUAGAUCCAAGUACUCUAAGUCUUUUCUUAGAGUCUCUUCCAAAGUUGUCCUAGGUCUUCCUCUACCCCUUCGGCCUUGAACCUCUGUCCCGUAGUUACAUCUUCGAACCGGAGCGUCAGUCGGCCUUCUUUGCACAUGUUCAAAAUCACCGGAGCCGAUUUUCUCUCAUAUUUCCUACAAUUUCGGCUACUCCUACUUUACCUCAGAUAUCCUAAUUCCCAAUCUUAUCCUUUCUCGUGUGCCCACACAUCCCACGAAGCAUCCUCAUCUCCGCUACACCCAUUUUGUGUACGUGUUGAUGCUUCACCACCCAACAUUCUGUGCCAUACAACAUCGCUAGCCUUAUUGCCGUCCUAUAAAAUUUUCCCUUGAGCUUCAGUGGCCUACGACGGUCACACAACACGCCGGAUGCACUCUUUCCAUCCAGCUCGUAUUCUAUGGUUGAGAUCUCCAUCUAAUUCUCCGUUCUCUUGCAAGAUAGAUCCUAGGUAGCGAAAACGAUCGCUUUUUGUGAUCUUCGCUAGAUUGCUCCGGUCAUUAGUGUGGAUAAGUAUAUAAAUGGAUAGAGAUAGGAAAGCAAAUACAAGAUGUACGUGGUUCACCCAGAUUGGCUACGUCCACGGAAUAGAAGAGUUCUCAUUAAUUGUGAAGGGUUUACACAAGUACAUAGGUUCAAGCUCUCAUUUAGUGAGUACAAGUGAAUGAUUUAGUACAAAUGACAUUAGGAAAUAUUGUGGGAGAAUGAUCUCGUAAUCACGAAACUUCUAAGUAUCGGAGUGUGGUGUCGUCUUGCCUUACCUUAUCUGUCUCAUAGGUAGAUGUGGCAUCUUCUCUGGAAGUACUCUUCCUCCAUCCAGGGGUGGUAUCUUUAACUGGUGGAGAUGCACAAGGUAAUGUAUCAAUUUCACUUGAAGCUUACUUGUAGUUUCAGGCUUGGUCAAGCGCGAUACAAACCAUGUAGUAGGAGUCCCCCAAGUCGCCGAGCUAGGGGGUCUGCUGAAAGAGGUGACAAACAAGGUAAGCAAUCAGAGCUCCGACUGAUUGUUCACCUUCUCCCCAUCUUGCAGCAGCAUGAAGGAUAAAGAGAAGAAAAAUGAGAAGAGAUGAUAUGAGAUACUUUUGCUUUUGAAGAAGUAACUUUCCACAGGCUUAUUCUUGAACUGAGCUGGAGGGUUUUCUGGUUUCCUCCAGAGUAUAAGGCCGACUGAAGAAUUUGAGGGUCAAAACAAGUCCAUCAAAUCUAGAGUACGUUCCACCCUGCUGAUAUGGGAUACUUUUGCUUUUGACAGAGUAAUGAAUGUAUCGGCACGUGUGCUGUUACGCUUGUCUCCACAUGCUUCCUUGUAUCCUUCGCACUUGCCCUAUCUGUUCCUCAAGCAGAUGCGGAAUCUUCCCUGGAAACAUAAGAUGUCGAAGAUGAGUACUCGAGAGCAAUGCCAGGUAAGUAAUCAGGUAAGGGGUUCCAGGCAGUCAGUUCCUGGCUGGAAGCUUGAUUCCAAGUGCUGACUGAUUGCUCUCUUUCUCCUUGUCUUGCAGGUAAAAACAAGGCCAAAAGAAAAGACAGGGAAAAAGCAUGAUAUGGGAUACUCUUGCUUUUAACCCUGAUGAUAUGAGAUAUUCUUGCUCUAGUAUAGCUUGUUUGCAGAGGUAUUAUCGGGGGGAAAGAAAGCUGAAUAUUUCGAAAUGCUUCGUUGGGAGUGCCUUCUCAGAUAUGAUGAAGGGUUGAGCAUUUUUGCAGGUCUGCCUGUCCGUUGGGGAUGGAGGUCGACAUAUAUAGGAGUCUCCCUAAAAACAAGUAGUAAUGCUAUUCCUUUACCCUGCUUGGUCAUAGCACGGUAGUGGGAGCUGCCAGUUUCACAUGUUUUAACUCUGUCAGAGCACUUUGAAAAAGUGGUCUGUGGUAUCUGGCUCUCGAGAUUCGGAGAACGAUGCCUCUUCGAUUUUUGAGAAAGCAAUCAUGCUGGGGGUAUGACUCUCGAGAUUCGGAGAGCAGUGUCUCUUCGAUUUUUGAGGAAGUAAUCAUGUUGGGAGUCUGGCUCUCGAGAUUCGGAGGGCGAUGCCUCUUCGAUUUUGGAGCAAGCAAUCUUGUUGGGAGUGUUGUCUCGAAUGUGAGUAAAGGUUGGGCAUGUUUGCUAGUCUACCUUGCCACGAAGCACAAAGGUUGACACACAGGGACUUUCCAAUUAUCCAGCAAUGGUACUGUUCCUUUACCCUCUCUUCGAUUUUGAGAAAGUAGUCAUGUUGGGAGUCUGGCUCUCGAGAUUCGGAGGACGGUGCCUCUUCGAUUUUGGAGCAAGCAAUCUUAUUGGGAGUGUUUUCUCGAAUGUGAGUAAAGGUUGGGCAUGUUUGCUAGUCUACCUUGCCACGAAGCACAGAGGUUGACACACAGGGACUUUCCAAUUAUCCAGCAGUGGUACUGUUCCUUUACAGUUGUGGGUAAUAAUAUGGUAGCUAGACCUUCAAAAUUUAUGUGUCUAAACUUUUGUUAGUGCUGUUUCUUUGCUAUUCUUUUACCUUUCUUGGUCAGAGCGAUGUAGUGGGAGCUGCAAGCUUCACGUGCUCAACUUUGGCAGAGAACUUUGGCAAAGUUAUUUGUGGUACCCAUGAGCUAUUGUUGCGUGUGGGAAGUGGAUGAUUGAACAGUAAGAUUCAUGUGCUUUCUACUUCACCAGAAGUCUUCGACAGAAUGCCCAUAAUUUCUGCAAAGCUGAGUGUGCGUGUGACAGGUGCUGACAAGGGUAGAAAAGUAGGUGCCUCUUCGAUUUCUGAGAUUGGCCCUCGUGGUCUCUGAGCAGCCCAGCUUUUGAGAAAGCGAGCGCCUCUUCGAUUGAUUCGGAGAACGAUGCCUCAUCGAUUUUUGAGAAAGCAAUCAUGCUGGGGGUCUGGCUCUCGAGAUUCGGGGAGCAGUGUCUCUUCGAUUUUUGAGAAAGUAAUCAUGUUGGGAGUCUGGCUCUCGAGAUUCGGAGGGCGGUGUCUCUUCGAUUUUGGAGCAAGCAAUCUUGUUGGGAGUGUUUUCUCGAAUGUGAGUAAAGGUUGGGCAUGUUUGCUAGUCUACCUUGCCACGAAGCACAGAGGUUGACACACAGGGACUUUCCAAUUAUCCAGCAAUGGUACUGUUCCUUUACCCUCUCUUCGAUUUUUAAGAAAGUAGUCAUGUUGGGAGUCUGGCUCUCGAGAUUCGGAGGACGGUGCCUCUUCGAUUUUGGAGCAAGCAAUCUUAUUGGGAGUGUUUUCUCGAAUGUGAGUAAAGGUUGGGCAUGUUUGAUAGUCUACCUUGCCACGAAGCACAGAGGUUGACACACAGGGACUUUCCAAUUAUCCAGCAGUGGUACUGUUCCUUUACCCUUGUGGGUAAUAAUAUGGUAGCUAGACCUUCAAAAUUUAUGGGUCUAAACUUUGUUAGUGCUGUUUCUUUGCUAUUCUUUUACCCUUCUUGGUCAGAGCGAUGUAGUGGGAGCUGCAAGCUUCACGUGCUCAACUUUGGCAGAGAACUUUGGCAAAGUUAUCUGUGGUACCCAUGAGCUAUUGUUGCGUGUGGGAAGUGGGUGAUUGAACAGUAAGAUUCAUGUGUUUUCUACUUCCCCAGAAGUCUUUGACAGAAUGCCUAUAAUUUCCGCAAAACUGAGUGUGCGUGUGACAGGUGCUGACAAGGCUGGAAAAGGCUGGAAAAGUAGGUGCCUCUUCGAUUUCUGAGAUCGGCCCUCGUGGUCUCUGGGGAGCCCAGCUUUUAAGAAAGCGAGCGUAUCUUCGAUUUUUGAGAUCGGCCAUCGUGGUCUUUGAGCAGCCCAACUUUUGAGAAAGCAAACGCCUCUUCGAUUUCUGAGAUCAACCCUCGUGAUCUCUAAGCAGCCCAGCUUUUGAGAAAGCAAACGCCUCUUCGAUUUCUGAGCAGGCGCCUCUUCGAUUUCUGAAGCUUCGUCGAGUGCAGAUUUUUAUAGGGGCUGGCAUUAAGUUCCAAAGCACACUUGAAUCUCCACCAGUAGAAGCUUCAUUCUUGCACUUCUAAGAUCUUGAUUUUUCCGACCUCUUCUCUCUUCAACACCUUUGAAAAUGUCUGGCCCCUCCGACCGUCGUUUUGACUUGAACCUUGUUGAAGAGGCAGCCCCGCCUUCUCCAGACAACAUAUGGCGCCCAUCCUUCGUUUCCCCUACUGGUCCUCUUACCGUUGGGGAUUCCGUGAUGAAGAAUGAUAUGACCGCUGCGGUGGUGGCCAGGAACCUUCUCACUCCCAAAGAUAACAGACUACUUUCCAAACGGUCUGAUGAGUUAGCUGUUAAGGAUUCGCUGGCUCUCAGUGUUCAGUGUGCAGGUUCUGUGUCUAAUAUGGCCCAACACCUAUUUGCUCGAACCCGCCAAGUUGAAUCAUUGGCGGCUGAAGUGAUGAGUCUCAAACAGGAGAUUAGAGGGCUCAAGCAUGAGAAUAAACAGUUGCACCGGCUCGCACAUGACUAUGCUACAAACAUGAAGAGGAAGCUUGACCAGAUGAAGGAAACUGAUGGUCAGGUUUUACUUGAUCAUCAGAGAUUUGUGGGUUUGUUCCAAAGGCAUUUAUUGCCUUCGUCUUCUGGGGCUGUACCGCGUAAUGAAGCUCCAAAUGAUCAACCUCUGAUGCCUCCUCCUUCUAGGGUUCUGUCCAGUACUGAGGCUCCAAAUGAUCCCCCCCUCCGGUGCCUUCUCUUUCUGGGGCUCUACCUGACUGCUGAGACUUCUCCUAAGCAACCUUUGUGAAGGCUCCCUCUUGUGUGCUUAUUUUGACUCAUGUAUAUGUACAUAUUUGUAGCUUAUCGGGGAUAUCAAUAAAUAAGCUUUCCUUCAUUUCAACGUAUUGUGUUAAAUACACACCAAAGCCUUCUUCGCUAAGUUCUUUGAAUUUUCUUUUGUUAAAGCUUGUAUGUUGAAGCUUUCUGAGUGGAGCAUGUAGGUUGGGGUAGUGUUCCCUUAAUUUCCCGAGUGAGGAAAACUUCUCGGUUGGAGACUUGGAAAAUCCAAGUCACUGAGUGGGAUCGGCUAUAUGAAUCUUAGAACGCCAUUGUGCUCGAUCCUGUGUCAUGUCCUUCGUUAGAUCCAAGUACUCUAAGUCUUUUCUUAGAGUCUCUUCCAAAGUUUUCCUAGGUCUUCCUCUACCCCUUCGGCCCUGAACCUCUGUCCCAUAGUCGCAUCUUCUAAUCGGAACGUCAGUAGGCCUUCUUUGCACAUGUCCAAACCACCGUAACCGAUUUUCUCUCAUCUUUCCUUCAAUUUCGGCUACUCCUACUUUACCCCGGAUAUCCUCAUUCCUAAUCUUAUCCUUUCUCGUGUGCCCACACAUCCAACGAAGCAUCCUCAUCUCCGCUACACCCAUUUUGUGUACGUGUUGAUGUUUCACCGCCCAACAUUCUGUGCCAUACAGCAUCGCCGGCCUUAUUGCCGUCCUAUAAAAUUUUCCCUUGAGCUUCAAUGGCAUACGGCGGUCACACAACACGCCGGAUGCACUCUUCCACUUCAUCCAUCCAGCUUGUAUUCUAUGGUUAAGAUCUCCAUCUAAUUCUCCGUUCUUUUGCAAGAUAGAUCCUAGGUAACGAAAACGGUCACUCUUUGGUAUUUCUUGAUCUCCGAUCCUCACCCCUAACUCGUUUUGGCCUCCAUUUGCACUGAACUUGCACUCCAUAUAUUCUGUCUUUGAUCGGCUUAGGCGAAGACCUUUAGAUUCCAACACUUCUCUCCAAAGGUUAAGCUUUGCAUUUACCCCUUCCUGAGUUUCAUCUAUCAACACUAUAUCGUCUGCGAAAAGCAUACACCAAGGAAUAUCAUCUUGAAUAUGUCCUGUUAACUUAUCCAUUACCAACGCAAAAAGGUAAGGACUUAAGGAUGAGCCUUGAUGUAAUCCUACAGUUAUGGGAAAGCUUUCGGUUUGUCCUUCAUGAGUUCUUACGGCAGUCUUUGCUCCUUCAUACAUAUCCUUUAUAGCUUGGAUAUAUGCUACUCGUACUCCUUUCUUCUCUAAAAUCCUCCAAAGAAUGUCUCUUGGGACCCUAUCAUACGCUUUUUCCAAAUCUAUAAAGACCAUGUGUAAAUCCUUUUUCCCAUCUCUAUAUCUUUCCAUCAAUCUUCGUAAGAGAUAGAUUACCUCCAUGGUUGAGCGCCCUGGCAUGAACCCGAAUUGGUUGUCCGAAACCCGUGUCUCUUGCCUCAAUCUAUGCUCAAUGACUCUCUCCCAGAGCUUCAUUGUAUGACUCAUUAGCUUAAAUACCCCUAUAGUUCAUGCAAUUUUGUACGUCGCCCUUAUUCUUGUAGAUAGGCACCAAAGUGCUCAUUCGCCACUCAUUUGGCAUCUUCUUCGUUUUCAAAAUCCUAUUGAAAAGGUCAGUGAGCCAUGUUUAUACCUGUCUCUCCCAAAAGUUUCCACACUUCGAUUGGUAUAUCGUCUGGGCCUAUUGCUUUUUUAUGCUUCAUCUUCUUCAAAGCUACAACCACUUCUUCCUUUCGGAUUCGACGAUAAAAAGAGUAGUUUCUACACUCUUCUGAGUUACUCAACUCCCCUAAAGAAGCACUCAUUUCAUGUCCUUCAUUGAAAAGAUUAUGAAAAUAACCUCUCCAUCUGUCUUUAACCGCGUUCUCUGUAGCAAGAACAUUUCCAUCCUCAUCCUUGAUGCACCUCACUUGGUUUAGGUCCCUUGUCUUCUUUUCCCUUGCUCUAGAUAGUUUAUAGAUAUCCAACUCUCCUUCUUUGGUAUCUAGUCGUUUAUACAUAUCGUCGUAAGCUGCUAACUUAGCUUCUCUGACAGCUUUCUUCGCCUCUUGCUUCGCUUUUCUAUACCUUUCACCAUUUUCAUCAGUCCUCUCCUUGUAUAAGGCUUUACAACAUUCCUUCUUAGCCUUCACCUUUGUUUGUACCUCCUCAUUCCACCACCAAGAUUCCUUUUGGUGUGGGGCAAAGCCCUUGGACUCUCCUAAUACCUCUUUUGCUACUUUUCGGAUACAACUAGCCAUGGAAUCCCACAUUUGGCUAGCUUCCCCCUCUCUAUCCCACACACAUUGGGUGAUUACCUUCUCUUUGAAAAUGGCUUGUUUUUCUUCUUUUAGAUUCCACCAUCUAGUCCUUGGGCACUUCCAAGUCUUGUUCUUUUGUCUUACUCUUUUGAUAUGUACAUCCCAUCACCAACAAGCGAUGUUGAUUAGCCACGCUCUCUCCUGGUAUAACUUUGCAAUCCUUACAAGUUAUACGAUCCCCUUUCCUCAUUAGAAGAAAAUCUAUUUGUGUUUUUGACGACCCACUCUUGUAGGUGAUCACAUGUUCUUCUCUCUUCUUAAAGAAGGUGUUGGCUAAGAAGAGAUCAUAUGCCAUUGCAAAAUCCAAGAUAGCUUCCCCAUCCUCGUUUCUCUCCCCAAAACCAUGGCCACCAUGAAAACCUCCAUAGUUGCCUGUCUCCCUGCCCACGUGUCCAUUUAAAUCUCCUCCUAUAAAUAACUUCUCCGUCUGAGCAAUUCCUUGCACCAAGUCUCCAAGAUCUUCCCAAAAUUUCUCCUUCGAACUCGUAUCCAACCCUACUUGAGGUGCGUACGCACUAAUCACAUUGAUAAGUUCUUGUCCUAUUACAAUCUUGAUUGCCAUGAUUCUAUCUCCUACCCUCUUGACAUCUACAACAUCUUGUACCAAGGUCUUGUCCACGAUGAUGCCAACACCGUUUCUCGUUCUAUUUGUGCCCGAAUACCAAAGUUUAAACCCUGAGUUUUCUAGAUCCUUUGCCUUACUACCAACCCACUUAGUUUCUUGUAGGCACAUAAUAUUUAUCCUUCUCCUCACCAUAACUUCCACUACUUCCAUAGAUUUUCCCGUUAAGGUUCCUAUAUUCCACGUUCCUAAACGCAUUUUGCUCUCUUGAACUCUACCCUUCUGUCCUAGCUUCUUCACCCUCCCCCGUCUAAUAGGAUCAAAGUACUUCUUUUGUGUGUCCCGGGUAAAGUUGAUAGGAGCAUAUGCUCCCAAACAACUUUGAGUGGAGUCGUUCGAAAAGAAGUUUCUAUAGCCCCCUUGCUCAUUUAACACUGCAUCCGGGUGCCGAUGGAGAUACAGCGACCCUUGCUCACUUAUCACUGUGCUCAGGCCACACAGCGCGCCACUUACGGGUGACGCCCUAGCUUUAGCGCGAUUUUGUUCUGGAUUCAUUUUCAUAAGGAUUCGACGUGAUCAUGGAGUGCCGGCUGUCGACUACCUGACGCCCUCCCCCUCCUCCUUUAUCCGGGCUUGGGACCGGCCAUGUAAGACAUAGGCGGAGUUAUCAACCAAAACUUUAAAAGAAAAUAAUUAGAAAACAUGAUUCAGGAGAGAAAUAACAAGUCCAUCACGUAUUAGAAAAUCAGUUUUGCCCAGUGAUCGAAAUCAUUACAGGAUUAAAAACUAGAAUCCGACUUUGGAAGAACUUCCAUUCUCUUCUAAAACAGCUUCCACCAACGACAAACGUUCUUGCAGAUGUUUAACUGCACAUAGCAAUGGAAAAAGAUAAUAGGUCAGAAGUUAAUAGUUUACACCCAUUUUUCAAACACGGUGGUUGUUUGUUUUGAACCUACACCAGGUUCACCCUGUAUCAGCGGUUUCCCAGUCACACUAGUAUGAACAUUAGAUAUGAGUUUGAUAACACAAAAAACUAGUAGAUUUGUGUAUGCCCCCUUGGGAACUAAUUCUGUGUGGAAUUUUGUUGUAUGGGCUAUGGAGUAAAUACAUGUUGCAUGACGUGACUUGUUCGAGUUCAUUAGAGGGUCGUGGCGAUGCCCAUGGAAAGACAAGCUCAGGUCCUUUCCAUGUUCUUUUGUGAUCUUUGUUUCACAGUUGGAACGGGGGAGGUUUUGAUUCUGUGAUGAUAUUUGGGUUGGGAUUCCUAUUUCAGUGUCAUUUUCUGCCAUCUGUAUAGGAUCUCUUUGCCAUAAUUAAUCACCCCAAAAAAAUUAUUUGCAUUUGAUUCUUUGCAUAAACUUAUCUUAUGAAUAGUUGAGUAUGCUUUAAUGUCAAUACUAAUUUGUCCGUGACUAUGUCUUUGGUUCUCUAUGUUGUGUAUGGACCAGGGAAUUUAAAUUUUAAAGUGCUAUAUAACUUAUGCUAAAAUAUGUUUGGAAUACCCUAGAAAAAUUAGAUAGAGGCUUGAAAGGACUAGAUCCAGUACAUUUGAAAGAGCUCUCAGUACAAGACAACUUUGUUAAGUGUUUUUGUAGUGGUGUUCUAAUAGCAGCUUCGUAGUUUUAGUCUAAUGUUUUUGUUGUACAUUUUUAACAACCGAAUCUAAAAUCCCUCCGUACUUUAAAGUCCCUCCUCCAGACAUCACAUUAGAGAAUUAUAACUAUUCAACAUCCUUGGUGCAUUGGCAGAUUAAUGAUUGUAUCACGGAAUUUUGGCUAAGUUCCUUGAAUUAUUGAACCGUUAAUGCUUUCCAAAUGUUUUACUUUGAUUCAUUGUCUCACAUUUUCCAUGGUACAAGUUUACAUGAUUGCAAGCCGAUAGAAAGAGAUAGAUGUAGGGAGAAGUGGGAAUUGGGGGAGAGAGAGAGUGAGUGAGGGGUGCGGUUGCUUUUUAAAGAUUUCCUUGAAAUUGUUUCUGCAGUUUUUUUUUUUGGGUGGAUUUUCUCGAGUUCUUUCUAUUUGUUUGGAAUUGUUUCAUUUUUACUGAGAUUCUUUUGGUCCCUGUCACUAAACUCUGAUUUCUACUAUUAAUUGCUGCUGAAAUGUGACUUUUGCUAUUAAUUUUGUAAAUUAAUUAAGAUGCUUAAUGUUCCCUUAAUUGUGAUUAAGAUGGUCACAAUCCUACCAUCCUCUGUAUGCUCUGCCAUGUCCGCCGCCAAUGUUUUAUGUUCCGAUUUUUACUUUUUAAUCCUUUCUUACAACAUUUAAAUAAUCAGGUUGAAAUAGUAAUUCUAUUUUUCGACAAACGAUAGGUUAAAUUGUUAGUUGUUAUGAGAGAAGGAGAUCGUUUUAGAGAUCAAACCCGCAUCAAAAUAUAUGAUGAUUUCUGCAAAUGCGAUCAGCAGUUGCAUUUUACAAUAUACAACUUCAGUUAGCAUCAGUUUCUUAAUGAGUGGCAUGUGAAUUCUUAAUUUAAUUUCGGAAAAAAAUGCAUUUAAAUUUGGUGGUAUGUGAUGAACUUAGCAUUCUGUCUUUUAUUAUAUACUGGUGAUGGACAUUUUUAGCAUAUUGGAUUUAUCAUUUUCUAUAAAAUGAAGCUUCAUUCUCGCUAUGUUGUUGAUGUUUUUUUGUGAUUUCAGUUUAUAGUGCUUCUAAAUGCUGUUUUAAUUUAGGAAUUUGAAUAAUUGUUUAAAUGGGAUUGGAGGGUGAUAAAUAUUUCUAGCUAGGGAAAGGUCGCAUCCAUGUGUUGGUCGAAUUGAUGGAUGUAAAAAAUGAAUAUGGCAAGGUGUAAAAAAUGAAUAUGGAUGAACGUUUAGCUACUGCAUGUAGAUUCAGCUUUCCUUUGCAUUUGAGUGAGUUGGAAACCGAGUGGAACAGUUUGAGAGAGGGAGGGACGGAGGGAGAGAGAGAGAGAGGACGAUGUUGGGAUUUUGGUAAAGAUUUGAGCUUUAGUGGUAAGCAUGCUGAUUUGAGCUCACAGAAAAACCCAACAGUAUGUAGAUUGAAUUGAGUUGGGAACUGAGUGGAAAAAUGUUAGAGAGAGGAUUGUGUAUAGUUCUCAAAGCUUCUUACGUUGUUUUCUGAUGCAUCUUUGAGCCACUGGCCUUAGGUGGAGUCUUAUACUGCAAUAUUAUGUGCUAAUCUAAUAAACCCUGCAACUUAUUCGUCUUUGUCAUGAGUAAGUUUUGGUUUUUUUCAUUGGAAUAGGGAUUUAGUGGAUGAUUGUUUUUAACGCAUAUUAGUUAAAAUGAGUUGAGUAUUGGGUGCCAAUCCCAUGUCUGCAAAUCACAGUAGCCUAAGGAAGAAACACUGUCUGCACGAUCUAUAAUACCUAUUCACGCAAGAAUCUUUUCCCAAACUAAAAAGCUUACAUUUCCAAACGUGUAAAGGAUGGGCCACUAUCAUCUUACUUUUUCAAUACCUAAACCAUGCAGUGAUGCAUGGGCUGGAUAUUGCUCCUUUCAAGUUUCAAACCAUUAAAUGCUAAAGAUUUCUGGAUAAAUCAUCGUAGAAGUCGAUUCUACAGAUUCCUUCUUAGUUACACUCAGAUGAUAAUGUAUUUAUUGUCCUUGACAUGUUUUUAAAGUUUGCAUUUUCAAUGUAUAUUUCAUUAACUAAGCUUUAUCAGCGGAAUAUCAUCGCAAAUUUGUUACGGAAAAUGCUAUUGCUAGAUUCUGAUAUAUCUACUUUAGUUUUAAGGAUUACACAUUGUUUUACGAUAUAAAAUAGAUGUUCUGCCUUGAUUUGAUGCGGGGGUAUGCAUUAGCUAACAUUAAUUCUGCUUAGUAUUUCUCAAAUUCAUUUUGGGUUAAAAAGUUGGAGCUUUGGAUCGGGUUUUUUCUUUAUUCAUGUUGGAAGAAUACAUGCAAGUCAUAUCUUGUGUUAAAAUGCAUGCAUGAAAUAAACUUGUUGGAUGACUAGUGAAGUUAGGCUAGUCAACAUUCUUUGUGUAAAAUGCAUGCAUGAAAUAAACAUGUUGGAUGACUAGUGAAGUUAGGCUAGUCAACAUUCUUUGUGUAAGUUAAGCAAGUUAGGCAAGUUAGGCUUAUGUCUACUUUCUUUUCCUAUAUAUAUGUUUCAUUUGUAAUUGUUUCUUCAUGAAAUACACAUAAAAAAUUCUACAUGGUAUCAGAGCAGGUUCAUUUGUAACCUGUCUCUGCCAUUCUUGCUGCUGCAAUUUUUUCUUUCUUUCAAAGUCUAAGUCAUGACUGAAGAAAGUUCUGUGAACCAUGAUGAGGAAACCCGGCACAAUCUCUCUCCAAACUUCUCAGACGUUGAGGUUAACACCAAUCAACGUUUGUGUUCAGUUCUCUUGAACGAGUUCAAUUAUCUUCCUUGGUCCCGAGCUGUUUCACUAGCUCUCGGAGGCAAAGGGAAGUUAGGGUUUGUAAAUGGAAGCGUGGAAGCUCCAGACAGUUCUUCCUCUACAUACAAUGCAUGGCUCUGCAAAGAUCAACUUGUCAUGUCCUUGCUGCUCAAACACCAUGGAGAAACAUGUUGCUGAAAUUUUUAGCUACUCCAAUUCCGCACAUGAUCUUUGGAAAGCUUUGCAGGAUAUGUAUGGAAAUCAAAACAACUAUGCACGGGUCUUCCAAUUAAAGAAGGACAUUGACAGUGCUCAACAAGAAGGGAAAGCAUUUGUUCAACACCUUGGGAGCCUCAAAGCCAUGUGGAAUGAGUUGGAUGUAUAUCUCCCUCAUACCACAGAUCCUACCAUUCUCCUAAAACGAGCUGAGGAAGACAAAAUUUAUCAGCUGUUAGGGAGUUUGAGCUCUGAGUACGAGGACCUAAGGAGUCACAUCUUGAUGAGUCAAGACCUGCCUACCUUCAACAAUGUUUGUGCAACUAUCCAACGAGAAGAAGUAAGGAAGAAGGUUAUGAAUGUUGAUCACAAUCCUAGAUUAACGGAGACUCGGGCAUAUGCAUCAAAGUACAAGAACUCAUAAGCCAAGGUAUACAAGGGAAGAAACACACAUCUAAAAUGCAAAUAUUGCAAUGGUGUUGGUCAUGAGGAAGACAAGUGUUGGGAACUUCAUCCUGAACUCAAGCCUAAGUUCAGCAAAGAUGGAAGGAUGAUACCAAGGUCCUCACAACAAUUUCAAACCUCAUUUCAAGGCACAACUUGCUAAUGCUCACGCUCCUACUAUCUCACAAGGAUCCAUGGAGUUCACUGCCAAUCCAUUGUCAUUAAUCAAUGAAUUUGCAGCUUACCUACAAAGUAAGGGGCACGGAGGAGGCUCAUAUGGUCAAGGCAAUGAAGAGGGUAGUCACACACACAGCUAUGUUGGGACAAUUUGCCGGAUUUCUUGCUGGAAAUGAGAAAGUUCCAAAGGGAGAAGCAUCAGGUAUACUCAAAGCCUUUACUACUGCCCUAUUAACUAGUACUGAAAUUGAUUGUUGGAUAAUUGAUUCAGGCGCCACAGAUCAUAUGACAAACAAAGUUACAAAUUUACAUCAUUUUAAAAAAAUUUCAAGCCCCUCACAUGUGUCUAUUGCAAAUGGAAAAAAUGUCUUAGUUUUGGGAAAAGGAGAAAUAAACUUACUCUCUCAAAAAACACCUUCCACUGCCCUCUAUGUACCAACCUUUCCCUUCCAACUUUUGUCAAUUGGAAAGAUCACCAACACCCCUAAACUGCCGUGCUAUUUUCUCACCAAAUAAAGUAAUGUUUCAGGAUGUUCUCACCAUGAAGAUGAUUGGUGAAGGGGUCUUCAUAAAUGGACUUUACUACCUGUGCAAGAAUGCAUGUUUCACUCAGGCUCUUCAAGCUCAAUCGAAGUCCAUAGAUGAAAACCAACUUUGGCAUAGGAGAUUAGCUCACCCCUCUGAACUUGUCUUGUCGAAACUGUUUCCAAAUUUUUGUAACCCCUAUCCUACUUGUGAUACUUGUCAAUUUUCUAAGUUUACUAGGCUACCUUUUGGUAAUUCAAUGUCUAGGACAAGUAAACCUUUUGAAAUGGUACACACCGAUGUAUGGGGACCUGCAACUGAAUCAAUGGAAGGUUUUAAAUAUUUUGUUCUAUUUGUUGAUGAUUUCUCUCGAACAAGUUUUCUAUAUCUUAUGAAAUCAAAAAGUGAAGUCCCUACCAUUUUCAAAGACUUUCACAUGCAUGUUAAAACGCAAUUUCAAUCAAACAUUAAGGUUUUAAGGUCAGAUAAUGGCACUGAAUUUCUAUCCAACAACAUGCUUCAAUACAUAAGUUCUCAGGGUAUCAUACAUCAAACCAGCUGUGUGGGGACUCCCCAACAAAAUGGAGUAGCCGAGAGGAAAAAUAGAGAUCUCUUGGAAAAAACUCGUGCUCUCAUGAUUCACAUGCACGUUCCAAAGAAAUUUUGGUCGUUUGCCAUCCUUACUGCCACUUAUCUCAUCAAUCGACUUCCAAGUCGUGUGCUAGGGUUUAAAUCUCCUUAUGAAGUUCUCAAGGGGAGGAAAAUAGAUUUGACACAUCUCAAGGUGUUUGGUUGUGUGUGUUUUGUUCACAUCCAAACCUUGAACCGUGACAAAACUAGAUGCCAGGGCAACCAAGUGUGUGUUUAUGGGAUACUCGACCACUCAAAAGGGAUACAAGUGCUUCAAUCCAGUCACUAAGAAGUGCACAGUUUCAAGAGAUGUGAAGUUCGAAGAAGACUAUCCCUAUUUUACAAGUCAGGGGGAGGAUUUAGUUGACAUGUUCCCACUCCCUCAAAACUUUAAUUAUCCGAUGUUGGAAAAGAGAUCAGUCAUUGUAAGUCCAGAUUGUGAAGAAGUUCAAACUGACCAAAUUACUGCCAGUGAAAGUGAAGACGAGCCCUACUCUGAUCCUUCUCCGCCCUCUACAGAGUCUCAGGUGAUUAAAAGAAAUCCUCCUCGAAUCAGAAAACCUCCAGCUAGGUUGCAGGACUAUGUUACAUAUGCCUCACGACAUCCAAUCAAUGAAUGUAUCAGCUUUAGUAAGUUCUCAACAUCUCAUGCUGCAUUUCUCAGUGAAAUUGAUAAGCACUAUGAACCAAGAAGCUUUCAAGAAGCUUCUCUUCUCCCACAAUGGAACCAAGCCAUGAAAGAAGAGAUUCGUGCACUGGAAGAGAAUUGCACCUGGAGCCUAGUUCAACUACCACCAGGAAAAAAGGCUGUUGGAAGUCGUUGGAUUUACAAGACUAAAUUCAAAGCUGAUGGAUCUAUCGAGAGACACAAGGCUAGACUUGUUGCUCGAGGUUUCACCCAAACCUUUGGUGUAGAUUAUAAGGAAACAUUCGCACCGGUGGCCAAGAUGAACUCAGUCAGGGUUUUACUGUCAGUUGCAAUCAAUUGUGGAUGGUCACUCUACCAAAUGGACGUGAAGAAUGUUUCCUUCACGGCGAGCUGCAGGAAGAAGUGUAUAUGCAACCUCCUCCAGGCUAUGAUGGUAUUAAAGGCAACAUGGUUUGUAAAUUGCACAAGGCAAUAUACGGAUUGAAACAAUCACCAAGAGCUUGGUAUGCCAAGCUCAGUUCUGUUCUGGAAAAGGCUGGAUUCAUGCGAAGUAAUGCUGAUUCUUCGUUAUUUGUAAGAACUGGCACCAGGGGGAAGUUGGUGGUCCUCGUCUAUGUUGAUGAUCUUAUCAUCACUGUAGAUAAUACCGUGGAGAUUGAGGCACUAAAACUCUCACUACAUCAAGCUUUCGCUAUCAAAGAUUUGGGGAGGUUAAAGUAUUUUUUGGGGAUCGAAAUGGCAACAUCUUCAAAAGGACUGUUUCUACAUCAACGGAAAUAUGUAUUGGACCUCCUUCAAGAAGCAAAAAUGCUUGACUGCAAGCCUGUUAUCACUCCCGUUGAUUGUAAACUGAAGCUCAGCAUAGAUGGAGAAGCCAUGCAUGAUGUAAGCUACUAUCAACGAUUAGUAGGCAAGCUCAUAUACCUCACUAUCACUCGUCCAGAUAUCACAUAUGCAGUGAGCUUGGCUAGUCAGUUCAUGCACUCUCCCACUGUUGAUCACCUUAACCUUGUUAAGAGAAUCCUUCGUUAUCUUAAGGGUUCAAUUGGGCAAGGAAUUACAAUGCAUAACAAUCAGUCCACUGUCAUUAGUGGCUACACAGAUGCAGACUGGGCAGGUAAUGCAAUUGAUAGGAAAUCAAUCACAGGCUAUUGUACAUUUGUUGGUGGAAACCUUGUCACAUGGAAGAGUAAGAAGCAACAGGUAAUUGCUCGUUCCAGCGCAGAGGCUGAGUAUCGAGCCAUGGCAGCCACUGCGUGUGAACUCAUUUGGCUUAAAGGGCUUCUUUCAGACUUAGGGUUUCCUAGUUCUACUCCUAUGAUGCUUAUGUGUGAUAAUCAGGCAGCCAUGCAUAUUGCUGCCAAUCCUGUGUUCCAUGAAAGAACCAAACAUAUUGAAGUGGAUUGUCAUUUCAUCAGAGCUCAAGUUCAAACGCAAAUCAUCCGGACCAUGUUCACACGAAGCCAUGAUCAACUAGCAGAUCUUUUUACAAAGGCACUAGCAUCAUCUCAGUUUCAUCGGUUAUUGGGCAAGCUUGGCUCAGUGAAUCCCCUCGAUCCAGCUUGAGGGGGAGUGUUGGAAGAAUACAUGCAAGUCAUAUCUUGUGUUAAAAUGCAUGCAUGAAAUAAACAUGUUGGAUGACUAGUGAAGUUAGGCUAGUCAACAUUCUUUGUGUAAAAUGCAUGCAUGAAAUAAACAUGUUGGAUGACUAGUGAAGUUAGGCUAGUCAACAUUCUUUGUGUAAGUUAAGCAAGUUAGGCAAGUUAGGCAAGUUAGGCUUAUGUCUACUUUCUUUUCCUAUAUAUAUGUUUCAUUUGUAAUUGUUUCUUCAUGAAAUACACAUCAAAAAUUCUACAAUUCAGCUAUCAUUUUCUGCUUAGGAGACUCUCUUAAACUGUGUGAAACUGUGCUCAUUAGGCUGGGCAGAGCAAUGACAAGCUAAAAACAAAACAAAAACAAGCAGAAUUAUCACAUGUAGUGCAGGAUAAAUUCUAAACGACCCAAAUCUGGAUGGUAAAAUACUUGGAGUUGGAAUUAAUAGGAUCGAUUGAAACAUGGAUUUUUUUUUUAUUAGAUUGGUAUAUCUGACUUAAUUAAGAAGUUGUUUAAGACACAGUCAUUAGGGAAUUUCUGUAAUUGAACGUAGUUGUUUUCAUGAGGUUAAAUACAAUAAGGUGAUUCUAUGCCAAGAAGUGAUUUUAUAUGGACACAUUGUAUGAUGUAAAAUGGUAAAAGGAGUACCUGUUCCUGUCCAGCCUUAUGUUUUCUGAGUCUUGCUUAUUUUUCAUUAGUCAUAUGAAAGAUGCUGCAAUAUCGUGGGAUCAAAAUAGCUAAGAAACUGGACGUGGACAUCUUUAUUCUAUAGAGCGUAUGUAAAAGUAAUUUAGACUUUAUUAGUUUAUAUUAAUCCUUCACUUCUGUUCAUAUAUUGUAAUUUCUAUAUGGUUUGUCCACAUUUGUCUUAGGAGACUCUGGGGCUGCUUAAAUUUUAUAUAUUCAGUUGCAUAGAGUCGGCAUGACAUGCACAGCGAUUGUCAGAUUGCCACCCUUAGUUGGUGAUAUUUUCUUUACAACACAUUCAAAUUGAGGAUUUAGAAAAUCUAAUAAUAAAACUCAAACAUAUGUUCGAUGCUUUUUGUUUUCAUUUUCGGUUAAAAGGUUUCAGCUUUGGAUUGGGAUUUACCUUUAUUAAUCUAUAAUUUUGUGCUCAGGACACCAUCUUGGGGGUCUUAACAUGAUUGUUCUUCUAUUUCAUAGACUCAAAACGUGUCUAGUGUUUCAUUGAAUUGGUAUACCUUUGCUCAUUUAACUCAAAUUUAAUACGGUUUGGUCCUCCAAUUUCUCUAAAUUGCCAACGGAUUUAUUUUCUUUGGAAAUUUCAGGAACUCUGGUUGUGGUAGGAACAAGCCGGCUCCUUGCUAUUUUUAGGUAUAUGAUUAUGUGCCCUGAUUGCAUGUUCAAAGUCUAAUUAGUUAUAUAAACUUUUAAUUUAUCUUUGCAAAGCUUUUGUACUUGGAUUUUAGUUUAGAUAUGCGAUUUGUUUGUGAAAAAUUAACGAGAAGACUAAUCAUGGGGACAUUCUUAUUUCUGAAAUUUUCUCUUCAGCAUUGUUUCUUGAAUAAAUUUGGAUUGGUAGAUGUAGGGGUAGAGUAACCCCCGUGGUGUAAAUAAAAGGUAUAGGCGUAAUGAUUUCUAGGUUUAGAAUUCAUUGAAAAAUAUGAUAUAAUGCUGCGUUCUCUAAUAUUUUUUUUUUUUUUGGCUGUUUGCUGUUCUAAACUUUUGAACUCCUUUUUGGAUUGAUCUUUGUUAUUUUUGUUUUUGGGGGUAUCUGAUUGGUCAAGGUUGCCCAAUCUUGGUUGUACUUUUUCCCAAGACAGGGCACAUUUGAAACUUUGAAUUCUUGAGUUUAUAUUUUAAUUCUCAUUAGUUAAUGCUUAAUAUUUGGCCUUUUAUUUUGAGAUUAGAAUGAAUACGUUUGGCCUGAAAGACAGUAAACUGAAUUAAAAGCUGGCUUAUUUUCCAUUGGCCAUCAAUUAGGGUGAGAAAACAUUGAAUUGAGAUCAUUAAACAGCACUUAUAUAGGGCACUAUACCAAAUGAGCUCGAAGAGGACUCAGCAAUUGAAGAACAAUUGAUGGCAUACACCUUGGACAUGAUUAAGUUAGUUGAACAUUAUACUAUAACAAGUACAUAUUUCUGGAGUCAGUUUCACACGCAGACACGCACACACACAUCUGACGUAAAGUUAGUCUAUUAGAUGGUUUCCAGAUUGACCCCCCCUUGCCAAAUCUAUUUCAAGGCUGGAAGGAGAGUUAAAACAUAUGUUAUUGUCUUAUAUGUUUGUAUUUGAAUGGUAACGAUGUUGUUCUUCUGGUGGAAAAUUUUUCCUUUGAAUCCAUUUCAGCUUAGGCUCUACUUUUUUUUUUUUCAUUUCAGCUUCAUUUUCAUGUUCAUCAUGUCCUGUUGGUAUGUGUUUUGUGUUGGCAUUGGAGGGUGGUGGGUUGUCGUUUUGUUUUUCUUUUCUCUGAUUGUAAGACCUUCUAACGAUUGAAUUUAUUUUAUGCUGAAACACUCAUUUUGAUCCCCUAGUUUGAGUUUUUCAGUUACGUAUCAAUACUUAACUGCUGGAUUUUUCUUAAGGAAAUUGGAUAUAGGCUAUAUACUAUGUGUAAAAGUCAUGGAGAUCAAGUUUUGUGCUUUCAUUUGUCACAAUGCAGUUUUUUGUUUUCAUAAAUCAAGUUUUGUGCUUUCAUUUUUCUUUUAAAUUUUAAUUUGUCUUUCAAUCAGUUUUUUGUUUGAGAGAACUCUUAAUUUUCAUGGAAAUAUAGUUAUUUGUGAAUAUGGAAACUUGAAUCUGUGUAGACAUCAGAGUUCUUAUGGUUGUGAUAUGAAAUUUAAAUACAAACUUCCCAAUUUGUUUUUGGAAUUUUAACUAAACUUGCGUUGUAGGUAGAUCAUGCUAUUAAGAUAACAAAAAAAUAGGUAGAUUUGUGUAUGCAAUGAGUUGUAGUGAACAUUUGGCAGUAAUAGAAAUGGUUUAGGUGUGCACAGUUUUGGCCUAAAUGGUUAUCACACGAGCGUAAAUGUUUGUUUCAUUUGUGAUUGAACUCGAAUUUGUUGGAAAGCUUUUCAAUUUAUGAAUAUGGAAAGCUUUUCGUCUUUACUUCUAAACUUAUUUUCUGCUUGGUUGUUGAGAAGGUGAUGGAAAUAUAGUUAUCUGUUAAUAUGGAAACUUGAAUCUGUGUAGACUCCUUGGGUUGUCUGUUGUGUUCAGUGGAGGUUUAGUGUUUUAAUUUUGAAUGAUUUGUUUUUCGUUUCAUGGAAAUGACCUAUUAUUUGAUUUAAUUGAGUAAUUUAAUGGAAGUAUAUUCUCUUUUUUUUCUUUUCCAUAUUUCGUUUUGUCUGCAACCAAACAGGGUAAGGAACUGUAAUCUUUUUAAUUACUCUGCUAUCUCCGUGAGUUAUGAAAAUCAGACCUUUUGUUUUAUUUCUGUAUAUGUAGUUCCGAAGGAAUCAAGUGCCAAAAUUAGAAUAAACAUCCUUUAGUCAAGUUACGCACUUUUCCAUAGAAUGUUUGGUUUAGGGAUCCCUUAUACAAGCACAAUAUUCUUAUGUAUUUAAAUCGUAGUUGACCGUCAUGGUUUAAUAAGUGUGAAAACUGUCUUUAAGUCUUAACUAUACCAUUGGAGCGAUACAGUUUUAGUUAUUUUAUUGGAUCCGUUUGUUAGCGCUUUGAAUUCUUACUCUGAAUCUCACUCAUUUUUUGCAGUUUAGAUUGGACUCUCAUCACGGCAUUGUAAUCUGCUCUUGCUGCUGCGAUUAAUCUAACGGUUCUGAGGCGUUGCAUUUGAAUCAAGACUUCGGUAUGCUAGCUGAACUUAAAUGCAUUCUUUUCCCAUUCUUUCCGUUUGAGGCAGCGCAACUUUAUGAUCUUUUAUAUUGAUUGUUUGGUUUGAUCACCUUUUGUUAUUCGUUUGCUUUAUGCUUUGUUUUUCAUUCUUGGUUGUCUCUGUGAUUGUCUCAUUGUCCAGAGGUCGGAUGGUUAGUUUUUUAUUUUUUUUGUUCUAAUUUUGUUUGUGCAAUUCCGUUAUUGUUUGAAGGCCCGUUGCUAUCUCUGUGAUUCUGGUUUAACCCGGUGCUCUUAAUUCUUUAUCGGAUGUUGUUGGUCAUUUUAUCUCUUUUAUUUUGUAUUGGUUGGUUGGUGUUUUCGUUUGGUUUUCUGAUGGUGAACUAUCUCAUCCUCCCCGAAGUGUUUUAACAUGUUUUGUUGAUAAUUGCGCUCUCUAAACGAACUCGACAUUUUUUUAGAAAAAUCACAACUUCCAUAUUUAAGAAAAUGUGUGGCUUUUUAGCAAUGCAUGAAUGCAGCUAAGAUGUUCUGAAAAAUUCAUGGAUAUUUUACAUUCAAACCACAAGUAUCAUUAACUUAUAAAUAAUUAAGUUAUGUAUUUUCUUUAUCGGCUAUCACUUCAAAAUUUGAACUAAAACACUGUCAAAAAGCUUUUUGGUUGUGUUUUCCUUAUUCAUUAUGUAAGUUUCGCAAAUCUUCUACAUGCUGCAUAUUUUUUUGUUUGAACAUCUAUGGUUGACGAGUUACCUGCUCAAACGCCACUUUUUCUGUGUUUUGCUAACUGCUAAGUGAGUUAUGUAGGUUGCAAAGCAUAUAUUUGGCCGUCUUAACUGCAGGGGCAAAAUAUGUGUGAAUUGCAGCUUCCUUCUGUUUCUACAGUUUCAUAUAUGGAAACAGGCCUUCUGUUUUUUUUUUUUUUUUUGCCUUUGAACAAUUAUGGUUCCAAAAUUAGCUACUUGAACAAGUCCUCAACACUUUCUGCUUUAAAUUACCUGUUGAACUAGCUGCCUACACUGCAGGACACAUGUUAUGUGUGAACUAAAUGUUUCUUCUUUUUCUUAAGCAAACGGAAAUUGUUUGGAAACCAUCUCUUUCUAAUCAAACACGUACAGUUUCUUCCCACUCAUUGUGCAUUGUGUUUAUAUGCCAACUCACUUAAAUAUGUAUAACAGCACAAUUGCUUAUCUUAUUGGGCUCAUUCACUCAUGUAUCCCUCUGUUUGUUUGUAAUUGUGUUGAAUUUAUUCAACUUAAAUGUGUUUUAUCCAUCCGAUUACGUCUGAAACAGUGGUUCCCGCAGCAGCGUGCGGGCGUAUUUUCUAGUUUUUAACAAAAUUUUGCAAACUAAAUGACACGAUUGUUGAUGAGUGGAUUAUUAUUUUAGUGUUGAUUAACAUGCUUAUUUUAUUGUGGUGACACAUCAUUUAGUUUGCAAAUUUAGUCUCCUUGUCAUUACCUAUUUGUGUAUGAUGGCGGAGGCAUCAAUAAUUAGUUCUCACCAUUUGAAUUUGUGCAAUUGUGACAACAGAUCAAGCUUCCAAAUCUCCAAGGAACUAGUCUUUGACUGUUGAUCUUCCCUUCGUCGAGUCUGUAUUUGUUGAUCAUAAGCGGAGUCAGAUUUGAACUUCCCUGUAAGUUCUUAUUAUUCACUGAAUAAUACAUUAGUUGUUUCUCAUUUUAUUUGAACUACUUUUUAUUCAUUUGUUUCUUCACUUAAUUUGUGCAGCUCUUCACCUCAAUAUUGCUCAAGAACGCUUCCUUAUUUCUUUGGUUGCUUGGAGUUCUCAGCGCUCCUAAGAUGCCACUUGGAGAGGUUUUUCUUGCGGCGUUUCUACAGUUGCUGCUUGACAGGUUGACCCCUCGCGACAUUCUCAACUACUUUGGAAACUUCCGGGGUGUUGGAAAGAAGCUGGAGAAGUGGAGGGCCACGUUAACUACAAUCGCAGCAGUGCUGAGCGACGCCGAUGAAAGACAACGGACUGACGAUGCUGUAAAACUAUGGCUCAAUAAUCUCAGAGACCUUGCUUAUGAUGUCGAAGACAUGUUGGACAAAUUUGCGACUCAAAUGUUGAAGCGCACGAUAGAGGGACGUGAUCAAGCCAGCACGAGCAACAAGGUGCGAAACUCACUUUUCAAAAUUAAAUUGAAUUGGAAUAUGAACUCCGAAAUGAAGAAGAUUACGGAGCGGUUACAAGACAUAUCUGACCGAAAAGUUAAGUUUAGCUUGAAAGAUACUGGGACGUCUGCUAAGGAAUCGCGAAGUCUACCAUGUUCAGGCGUGUUAGAUGAAAAGCUUCUUGUUGGAAGAGAUGGUGACAAAGGGAAGAUUAUUGAAUUGUUGAAAAAGUCUACCAAUUUUGGUGUGGUUGCUAUAGUUGGCAUGCCCGGAGUUGGGAAGACGACACUUGCUCAACUUGUAUUCAACAACAAAGAUGAUGCCAUGAAGGAGUUUGAGCUCAAGGUCUGGGUAUCUGUGUCCGAUGACUUCGAUGUUGUGCGAGUGACAAAGGCAAUUCUUGAAUCAAUGAAACCCCUACCCGUUCAAGUGGAGGAGUUUAGUAAAAUGCAGCAUGAUUUGAGUGAGCAAUUAAGAGGAAAAAAGUUUUUAAUCGUUUUAGAUGAUGUUUGGAACAAAGGUGACCGUGAUCUAAACGAUCUCUGGUUAAGACUUAAAUCCCCUUUUGGCGUCGGAGCAGGAGGAAGUAAGAUUAUUGUGACAACCCGUGAUUUAAAUGUUGCAAAGAUUAUGGGAGCCACUGGAUUUCAUAAUUUGGAAUGUAUGGCAAAUGAUGAUUGUUUGGAAAUAUUUGAGCGACAUGCAUUCGGGGAAGUUAAUAGUGGAAAACCAGUAAAUUAUGAGUUAAUUCGGACAAAAAUUGUUGAAAAAUGUUGUGGCUUACCAUUAGCUGCGAGGACUCUCGGUGGUCUUUUACGUUGCAAAGAAACAGAUGAGUGGGGAGAAAUAUUGGACAACAAACUAUGGAAUCUCGCAGAUAACUGUAACCUUCCCCGCGUACUAGAGUUGAGCUAUCACUAUCUUCCAUCACAUUUGAAGAGGUGUUUUGCCUAUUGCUCAAUACUUCCAAAUGACUACGAAUUUGGGGAGAAGCAGCUCGUCCUUUUGUGGAUGGCAGAGGGUUUGAUUCAACAAAAACCUGACAACAAUAAACAAAUGGAGGAUUUGGGCCGCGACUACUUUCGAGAGCUAUUAGCAAGGUCGCUGUUUCAAGAAUCAAGCAAAAACAAUUCACGAUAUGUAAUGCAUGACCUCGUUUCUGAGUUAACACGAUGGGCUGCAGGAGAAAUAUGUUUUAGGUUGGAAGAUAAGCAAGGUGAUAACUUGCAAAGCACUUGCUUUCGAGGGGCUCGCCAUUCGUCUUUCAUUGCUGGUGAAUUUGAUGGAGUUAAGAGAUUUGAGGACUUUCCAAAAGCUGAACGUUUGCGAACAUUCCUGCCACUUUCGCUUUCAUAUUCCACGGGAUGGUUAAAAUUUUUGUCUCGUCAGGUUACUUUUAAGCUAUUACCACAGUUGCAAUACUUACGAGUGCUCUCGUUCAAUGACUACAAAAUAACUGCGCUGCCAGAGUCAAUCGGUGAUUUGAGGUUGUUACAGUAUCUUGACCUUUCCUACACAUAUAUAACUAGUUUGCCUAAAUCGAUAAGUACUCUUUACAACUUGCAGACAUUGAUAUUGGAACACUGUUACUAUUUGAAGUCAUUGCUUGCGGACAUGAGUAAUUUAAUUAAUUUGCGCCAUCUCAACAACUCAUAUGUAUCUUCGUUGGAAGGAAUGCCUCCAAAUCUAGGUAGCUUGGUGAAUCUCCAAUCUUUGCCUAAUUUUGUGGUCAGUGGUGGAAGUGAUCAAUCAGGAAUAAGAGAGAUAGGGCCCCUAUCGCAUCUCCGAGGGACAUUGUGCAUCUCAGGAUUGGAGAAUGUGACUGAUGUCGAGGAUGCCAGGAGGGCCAACUUGAAAUGCAAGGAGAGGCUUGAUUCGUUGGUCCUAAAAUGGUCUCAUUCAAGCGACACGAGAGAAACGGAAUCCGUUGUGCUUGACAUGUUAGAGCCUCAUACAAAGCUCAAGGAGCUCACCAUCAAGAGUUAUGCCGGAGAGGAAUUUUCAUCAUGGGUUGGAGGUCCUUUGUUCUCUAAUAUGGUGCUUGUGUGCUUACAGAAAUGUAACAAUUGUUUAUCGUUGCCUCCUCUCGGACAAUUGCCUCAUCUCAGGGAACUUUAUAUUAGUGGAAUGAAUGCAGUGGAAAGUGUUGGUGCUGAGUUUUAUGGAGAGCGUAUGUUGCCUUUUCCGGUAUUAGAGACUCUUGAGUUUGUGGAAAUGCAGCAUUGGAAGGAAUGGCUUCCUUUCCAAGCCGAUCACGAAGGUGGUGCUUUCCCUUGCUUGAAAACACUCUUAGUAAAAAAAUGUUCUAAACUGGAGGGUAAACUGCCAGAGAACCUCAAUUCUUUAGCUAAGCUUAAAAUUGUUGAAUGUGAAGAAUUAGUGGUUUCAAUUGCCAACUGCAAACAACUUCGUCAAUUAAACAUUGACGGUUGUAAAGUGUUGGUGCAUACAGCUGCUAAGGUUGAGUUUGAGUUGUUAGAGUCCUUGUGCCUUUCAAACAUUUCGGAGAUGAUGUCUCUGCAAACAGGGGAGUUGUUGAAGAAGGGAUUAACCAAGGUUAGAGAUUUGAAGAUCAGUGGAUGUGAGGAGGUGACGUCUUCACUGAAGAAUGAGGAGGGUAGAUUAUUGCAGCAGUUGACUUCUCUUGGCAGUUUGGAAAUUGAAGACAACUCUCGUCUAGUUGAAGAAUUGGGAAAAGAAGCUGAGGAGUUGCAAAUAUCGGAGUGCAAGCUUGAAUUUCUGGAGUUAAAAAAGUGCGAAAAUCUUUCGAAGCUACUAAAAGGAUUAAAUCAGCUGUCGUCUCUUCAAGAGCUUCGCAUACACGAAUGUUCAAGUCUAGUUUCUUUCCCAGAUGUUGGUCUACCUUCUCUUAAAGACAUCCAGAUUACAUCGUGCGAUUCGUUGAUAUAUUUUGCAAAAUUCCAGAUUCCCCAAAAUCUCAGAAGAACAGAGAUAAAAGAUUGCAAAAGUUUGAAAUCACUAGUAGAUGAGGAGGCUGUUGGUUCUUCUUGGUCGUCUUUUUCUCAUAGUUGUCUUGAGUAUUUACGUAUCCGAGGUUGUGAAUCUCUGAUGUCGUUAUCAUUGAGUGGCCAGCUUCCCAGGACACUUAAACACCUUGAUUUAGAGAAUUGUGACCGACUGGAGCUAAUCGCAGGGGACGGGUUCUUCCGCGACAACACUAAUGAUUGUCUUGAAUAUAUUAGGAUCUGGAAUUGUCAAAAUCUGAAAUCCUUACCGGAUGGCUUAUGCCACCUCAGCAAUCUUCAAACUCUAGGUAUUGGGAACUGUGGAAGUCUUGUUUCCAUCCCGAGACUGAGUGGGGGGAGAAGACCCUCCAACCUGAGAAAGAUCUGGAUCAUCGGAUGCAACAAAUUGGAGGCGUUGCCCGAAGACAUGCACAAUCUCAACUCUCUUGAGGAAUUGAGCAUCGACUACCGUGAAGGUUUGACUUUUCCUCCCAACCUAACAUCACUUGAAAUUGGGAAGGUCAAGAGCUGCAAGUCAUUGUGGGAGUUGGAGUGGGGGUUGCACAGACUCACCUCUCUUAGGGAGUUGGGAAUCCGUAGUACAGACCCGGAUACGGUGUCGUUUCCACCCGACAUGGUACGGAUGGAGACGCUCUUCCCCAAAUCUCUCACUAACCUCUCAAUAGAUGGCUUCCCGAAUCUGAAGAAACUGAGCAGCAAGGGCUUUCAAUUCCUCACCUCCCUUCAAUCUCUGGAUCUUUCCAAUUGUCCAAAGCUAGCAUCCAUUCCAGAGGAGGGUCUGCCUCCUUCACUAGAGCGACUU
rnacentral:lncRNA from 1 species